rnacentral:lncRNA from 1 species
CCUUUAGAAGGUUCUAGAAGAUUCUUAGAAUAUUCCCUAAAGAUUCUCUUAGAAGGUUCUAGAAUAUUUUGAUAGAUUCUAGGAAGUUGCUCGAGAAGUUUCAUAAUUAGUAGAAGUUGUUGGAGAAGCGUCUAGUUAACGGAAGUAGCUCGAGAAGCUUCCUAUUCAGUAGUAUAUAUAGGAGUCGAGGCUGAAGGGUUCUUCAGUCUCGACAACACAUCUCUUGGAGUUCUAGCUCACCUUUCUGGUGUUGUUCUUGUACUCAUCUGUUUAAUCUAGUUCUGCCACUUCUUCUUGAACUUCUUGUUAGAUUUCAAGUCUGUAUUUUGUGUCCGUGACAGUUUGUCGAGACUGCAUUUUCACUAGUAUCAGAGCUAGUUCCUUCUUGUUAGAGAGUGGAUUACCCCUCUUCUUGAAGGUGUGCUAGUGUUUUAGAGGUUGCGGAUUACCCUCCUCUAAACUGAUAUCUUUUCUUUCUCAAUAUUGGAGCCUUAUUCUUCUUGGAGAGAGUGGAUUACCCCUCAUCUUGGAGUCUUAAGGCGUUUUAGAGGUUGCGGAGUACUCUCCUCUGAACCAAUAUUGUCCUCUUGUCAAAACUCUUUUUUCUUCUUUCUGAAGGUUAGCCGAAGGUUAAGACGUUAAAAUGGCUGAAAGUUUGGAAUCCAAACUAGACGCCAUCAUAAAUGCUCUUGCCUCGUUGUCACAUAGGACAACAGAGAUCGAAGGAGUCAUGGUAGGACUCCAUAACAAUGGAGCAUCUGGGAUAGCGCCAUCUAAAGCAUAUCAGCCUCAAACUUCUGCGCCAGAAGAAGCACUUCUACCUCCAUUUCAACAAGAUCGAGUAGUCCUACAACGAAAGGAGCCUCGAGUUGGUCUUUCGGAUAAGUUUGAUGGAACUCGUUCCAAGUUUCGAGGUUUUGUCAACCAAAUCAGGUUGAUAACAAUUUUACAGCCCGAACGUUAUCCGACGGAAGAAGCGCGUGUUGGGCUUGUUGGAACCUUGCUUACAGCACAAGCUCUGUCUUGGUUUAUUCCCUUGUUCGAGAAGCGAUCGCCAAUCCUGAGCAACUUUGAAACGUUCUUGGAGGCGUUUGCAGAAGCAUUUGGCGAGCAUGAUAAAGUUCGAUGGGCUACAACAAAGAUCCGAUCGCUAUGACAAGGAACACGCUCUACAUCAGUCUAUGCCUCGGAUUUCAGACAAUUGGCAAGUGACAUUAAUUGGGGUGAAGAGGCGUUGGUGAGUCAGUUUUAUUGGGGCUUGAAGGAUGAUGUGAAGGACUUGCUGUUAUCUCUUCCUGAUCCUCAAACGCUCAACGAAGCUAUUAGCCAAGCUGUAAAGUGUGACAACCGCCUAUUCCAGCUUCGCCAAGACCAACGUCCAAGACACCAAAUGACUCGUUACGAUGUGACUAUGUCUGAAAAUAGCUUAAACUCACAUUCGGAGGCAACAGACAUGCAAAUCGACACGGCGCGUGUCCGAUCUCUUACUCCAACAGAGAAGAAACGGCGUAUGGAGGAAGGGUUAUGUUUGUACUAUGGAGAAGAAGGUCACAAGGUUGGAAAUUGCCCAAAGAAGCAAAAUUGGCACCCUGUCAAGACUAGAAGUGCGAUGAUUCUGGAAAAUGACGACGCCCAGCCACAGUAGGAACCGUGCGGCUGGACAAUCUAAUAUCACGACAACAAUCAGGUUCCUCCUUCUCUGUCCAACCUGCCCGUUGUUUUACAAUUCCUUUGUUUUUAGGCCCUCAAAAACAAAAAACUUUAGCUUUAUUGGAUUCGAAGGCAUCUACUUGUUUUUUAGAUGAAGAGUUUGCUAAACGCCACAAGAUCCGUUUAGUACAGAAGUCCAAACCUGUUCACGUAGAGGUGAUAGAUGGACGACCUUUAUUGUCAGGCAACGUUACCCACGAAUCAGAACCUAUAGAAGUGGUGUUUAAGGACCAUAGUAGUCACGUUAUUUUUAAUAUUAUUAGAACCCCAUCAAGCCCUGUUAUCCUUGGUCUUUCUUGGUUAGAAGAUCAUAAUCCGUCCAUUGAUUGGAGGCUACGAAGGAUAACAUUUCCUGAAAAAAAUAAUAAUAAACCUGUUGGUAGAACCUACAUGAAGAAAUCCAUGUUUAUUGGAGCGAGAGCAUUCCUAAGAUCGUCCAAGGAAGGCUCACCAUUUGUCAUUUAUGCAGCUCCAACUAGCGGCGAGAAUAUCUCAAUAUCGAAUAUACCAGAGCAAUAUAGGGAUUUUGAAGACGUGUUUCAGAAGAAGAACGCCGAUAUACUGCCGGAACAUCGACCAUAUGAUUGUGCCAUAGACUUAGAGGAAGGAGCGCAACCACCUUUUGGUCCAAUAUACAACCUAUCGCAGACGGAGUUGGCAGAAUUGCGGAAGUACAUCGAUGAGAAUCUAGCCAAGAAUUUUAUUCGACAUUCAAAGUCGCCAGCUGGAGCACCAAUCCUAUUCGUCAAGAAAAAGGAUGGCUCACUGCGCAUGUGCGUGGACUACCGAGGACUCAACAAGGUGACCAAAAAAAAUCGCUAUCCCUUACCUUUGAUCUCCGGCCUCUUAGAUCAACUUGGACGUGCAAGGAUUUUUACAAAGAUUGAUUUAAGAGGAGCCUACAAGCUUGUGCGAAUCAAAGAAGGAGAUGAAUGGAAGACAGCCUUUCAUACAAGGUAUGGCCAUUUUGAGUACAAUGUCAUGCCUUUUGGUCUUACCAAUGCUCCAGCGGUCUUUCAGCAUAUGAUGAAUGACAUCUUUCGGGAGUACCUCGAUGACUUUGUUGUCAUCUAUCUGGAUGAUAUUUUGAUAUUUUCCAAGAAUGAAGAAGAACAUGAGAAGCACGUUUGUUUGGUUCUUGAAAAACUACGCGAACGAGGACUCUACGCCAAGUUGGAGAAGUGUCAAUUUCACCAGAAUGAGAUGGAAUUUUUGGGCUUCAUUGCGACUACAGAGGGCUUGAAGAUGGAUCCAAAAAAGGUAGAAGUAAUUAUAUCUUGGGAAGUUCCGAAGACGGUUAGAGAUGUUCAGUGUUUUCUUGGAUUUGCCAACUUCUAUCGGAUCUUCAUCAAGAAUUAUUCUCAAGUUGCUGCACCACUCACGCGUCUAACAAACAAAGACAAGCUCGAAUGGGGAUCACAAGCAGCAAAAGCAUUUCAAGAUCUCAAGACGGCAUUCACUACGGCUCCAAUCUUGGUACACCCUGACUUUGCAAAGGCUUUCUAUUUAGAGACCGAUGCUUCAGAUUUUGCUUUGGGAGCUGUGCUUUCACAGAUGGGCAUAGACAAGAAGCUUCACCCAAUUGCGUUCUAUUCACGAAAGUUCUCUGCUGCUGAGAUCAACUACGAGAUCCACGACAAAGAGUUGCUUGCUAUAGUGGAUGCCUUCCAAGAGUGGCGUCACUUCCUCGAAGGAGCUGCACAUCCAGUGACUGUUUAUACGGACCACAAGAAUUUGGAGUACUUCAUGACAGCUCGAAUUUUGAAUCGUCGUCAAGCUCGAUGGAAUAUGUCUCUAUCACGAUUUGACUUUAUUAUCACCUACCGCCCUCGAAAAAAGUAAGGAUUAUCUGACGCAUUAUCGAGGAGAUCGUAUCUUGCGCCAAAGGCUGGAGAAGCAGCGUUUGAUCAACAAUGUACAACAUUGUUGAAACCAGAAAAAUUCAGGAUUUUUGCUACUGUUGCAACUAUCGAUGACGGCUUCCUCAGCGAGGUACGUACUACGACCAUUGAGGAUUCUAUAGCUCUUGACAUCAAACAACGUGUCGAUAAUGACAAGUUUAAGGUGGAGGGAGAUCUUCUGUAUUUUGAGGAGCGGUUGUAUAUCCCGAAAGGACCAACUCGACUCCGAGUACUUCAAUCUCGCCACAACUUUCCAGCUGCGGGACAUUUUGGAUUCAACAAGACUUUGGAGCUCAUUUCACGAGAUUUUUGGUGGCCCCAAAUGUGGAAGGAUGUGAAGGAAUUUGUCCUUUCUUGUGAUGUUUGUUCAAGAUCCAAGAUCCCUCGACAUCGUCCGUAUGGACUUCUCCAGCCAUUGCCUAUUCCACACCGACCAUGGUCUUCAGUUUCUAUGGACUUCAUUACGGACCUACCGCCAUCGAAUUCAUUUGACAGCAUCUUUGUUGUGGUGGAUCGAUUUACAAAGAUGGCGCAUUUCGUGCCUUGCAAGAAAACAUCGUCAAGUGAAGACACCGCAAGACUCUUUCUUGAUAAUAUGUAUCGUUAUCAUGGCCUACCAGAUGAUAUCGUGUCGAAUCGAGGUACUCAGUUUGUAUCCAAGUUUUGGAGGUCUCUCUUUGAGAUAUUGAAGGUGGAUAUUAAGCUCUCUUCGGCUUUUCAUCCUCAAACUGACGGUCAAACGGAGCGGGUGAAUCAAGUUUUGGAGCAAUAUUUACGAUGCAGCAUCAACUAUCAACAAGAUGAUUGGACUGCAUAUCUACCGCUUGCUGAGUUCGCAUACAACAACACUCUUCAUGCGUCAACUCAACAAACACCAUUCUUCUCCAACUACGGAUACGACCCCAAGUUUGAUUUAUUGAGUUCUUCAGCAAAUAACAACCCAGCAGCUGAAGGAUUUGUGAAGCAACUAUCGGAGCUUCAAGCGACGUUGAAGCUUCAAUUGCAAUCUGCCCAAGAGAGUUACAAGGCAUCUGUAGAUAAAUAUCGAAAUGAGGCGCCUACUUUUAAAGUUGGAAGUAAAGUAUGGCUUCUUCGACGGAAUAUCAAGACCAAGCGGCCAUGUGACAAAUUGGACUAUCGGAGAUUAGGGCCAUUUGUUAUCGGGAAGCAGAUCAAUCCGGUGGCAUAUCGUCUGGAGUUACCAGCUACUAUGAAGGUACAUCCAGUCUUUCAUGUGUCUUUGUUGGAACCUUAUCGAGAGUCAGUUUUUCUCCAAAGAGUAUAAAGUCCGCCACCAAGUAUCGAAAUUGAAAACCAUGAGGAAUACGAGGUAGAAAAGGUACUAGAUUCACGGCGUAAUAGGAGAAAAUUGGAGUAUUUAGUGCAUUGGAGUGGAUACGACAUCAAUGAACGAACGUGGGAGCGUGCCAAAAAUCUUGCCAAUGCACCAAAAAAGGUACAAGAAUUUCAUCAACGAUAUCCUCAUAAACCUAAGCCGAUUCAACGAUAGCUUCUUCCUGAAGCUUGCUCAUCAAGUAACAUAAAAAGGGGGGAGGGCACCUCCAAAAUCCAUAGUUCGAUAGUGUAGAACUUUGUUAGCAACUAUAAUUUGCUCUCAUCAUUUUAGCCUUUGGACAUGGAUAGUCAAGAUACUAUACUUGUUAUGUCAUCUCAAGCGACUAGCUCACGAAGACGACCGCGAGAUGAAGAACCGCCUGCACCACGACGACGUCGGAGGAUACCGAGCAACAGAUCGCUAGUAAUUGUAUUUGAGGUCGAGCCUGCCUACGACGGUCAGCCAGAAGGUGUGUUUGGAGGACAGUUUCACAAUGAAGACACAUAAGUCCACGCUUGGUCAGAGGUUGAAGGUGUUGGUCACUACCAUUGGCUCCAAGGGCCGAUGAAUCAUUUGCCUUGCGAACAACAAUUGGAAUUCAUAGCGGAUGUGAUGCGACAGAUUUUCAUUUUCUUGCGUUGGUAUUGACUGAUAACAACAUUGCUUCUCGGAGACCUCGAAGUUAGAAGAGGAGGUGAUGUCAUGGACAUACAUUGGAAGAUUCUUCGAAUAUUCUUCUAGAAUAUUCUCUAAAGAUUCUCUAAAGAUUCCUUUAGAAAGAUUCUUAGAAUAUUCCCUAAAGAUUCUCUUAGAAGGUUCUAGAAUAUUCUUAGAAGGUUCUAAAAUAUUUUGAUAGAUUCUAGGAAGUUGCUCGAGAAGUUUCCUAAUUAGUAGAAGUUGUUGGAGAAGCGUCCUAGUUAGCGGAAGUAGCUCGAGAAGCUUCCUAUUCAGUAGUAUAUAUAGGAGUCGAGGCUGAAGGGUUCUUCAGUCUUGACAACACAUCUCUUGGAGUUCUAGCUCACCUUUCUGGUGUUGUUCUUGUACUCAUCUGUUUAAUCUAGUUCUGCCACUUCUUCUUGAACUUCUUGUUAGAUUUCAAGUCUGUAUUUUGUGUCGGUGACAGUGGACUAUCGAGGCCUCAACAAGAUAAUAAAGAAAAAUCGUUACCCAUUACCCUUGAUUUCUAGUCUCUUAGAACAACUUGGACAUGCGAAGAUCUUUACAAAAAUUGAUCUAAGGGGAGCUUAUAAUCUCGUACAAAUCAAGGAAGGAGAUGAGUGGAAGACAGCAUUCCGUACAAGGUAUGGUCAUUUCCAGUAUAAUGUCAUGCCUUUUGGUCUUACCAAUGGUCCAGCAGUUUUCCAACAUAUGAUGAAUGAUAUUUUUUGAGAACACCUCGACGAUUUUGUUGUCAUCUACUUAGACGAUAUUCUAAUAUUCUCUAAAAAUGAGGAAGAGCAUGAGAAGCAUGUUCGUUUGGUCUUGGAGAAACUACGCAAGCGAGGACUAUAUGCCAAAUUAGAAAAGUGUUUAUUUCACCAGACGGAGAUGGAGUUUUUGGGGUUCAUUGCGACUAAAGAAGGUUUGAAGAUGGACCCCAAGAAAGUAGAAGCAAUCAUGUCUUGGGAGGUUCCAAAGACGGUUAGAGACGUACAAUGCUUUCUUGAUUUUACUAACUUCUAUCGGAUCUUCAUCAAGAAUUAUUCUCAAGUUGCUGCUUUUCUCACUCGAUUAACAUGCAAGGAUGAGUUGGAAUGGGGACCUUUGGCGGAGAAGGCAUUUCAAGACUUGAAGACAGCAUUUACUACAGCUCCAAUUUUGGUACAUCCAGACUUUACAAAGGCCUUCUAUUUAGAGACUGAUGCUUCAGAUUUUGUUUUGGGAGCUGUGCUUUCACAAAUGAGUGAAGACAAGAAGCUCCAUCCAGUUGCAUUCUAUUUUCGAAAGUUCUCUGUUGCUGAAAUCAAUUAUGAGAUCCACGAUAAGGAACUUCUUGCUAUAGUGGAUUCUUUCGAAGAAUGGCGUCACUUUCUUGAAGGAGCUGCACAUCCAGUGACCGUAUAUACGGAUCACAAGAAUUUGGAGUAUUUCAUGUCGGCUCGAGUUUUAAAUCGGCGUCAAGCUCGGUGGAAUAUGUCGCUAUCUAGAUUCAAUUUUAUUAUCACUUAUCGACCUGGAAAGCAGCAAGGACUAUCCGAUGCUUUAUCAAGGAGAUCGUAUCUUGCACCAAAGGCUGGAGAAGCAGCGUUUGAUCAACAAUGUACAACGUUAUUGAAGCCAAAGAGAUUUCAACUUUGUGCUACUAUUGUAUCAUUUGAUGCUGACUUCCUAAAUCAGGUACGUGCUAUGACCAUUAAAGAUUCAGUAGCCAUUGAUAUCAAGCAACGUACCAAUGAUGACAAGUUGAAGGUGGAGGGAGAUCUUUUAUACUUUGAAGAGCGAUUGUACAUUCCAAAAGGACCAGCACAAUUCCGAAUUCUUCAAUCUCGCCAUGAUUUUCCAGCUGCGGGACAUUUUGGAUUCAACAAGACCUUGGAGCUUAUUUCCCGAGAUUUUUGGUGGCCCCAAAUGUAGAAGGAUGUGAAAGAUUUUGUCCUCUCCUGUGAUAUCUAUUCAAGAUCCAAGAAUCCUCGGCAUCGCCCUUAUGGACUUCUACAGCCAUUGCCAAUUCCACGUCGAUCAUGGUCUUCAAUUUCUAUGGACUUCAUCACGGACUUGCCAUCAUCAAACUCAUUUGAUAACAUCUUUGUCGUGGUAGAUCGGCUUACAAAGAUGGCACACUUUGUUCUUUGUAAGUAGACAUCGUCCAGUGAAGUCACAGCAAGACUCUUUCUCAAUAAUGUGUAUCGAUAUCAUGGACUACCAGAUGAUAUCAUAUCAGAUCGAGGUACCCAGUUCGUGUCAAAGUUUUGGAGAUCUCUCUUUGGAAUAUUGAAGGUGGAUAUCAAGCUUUCUUCAGCUUUUCAUCCUCAAACUGAUGGCCAAACGGAACGGGUGAACCAAGUCUUGGAGCAGUACUUACGAUGCAGCAUCAACUAUCAGCAAGACGAUUGGACUGCAUAUCUACCGCUAGCCGAGUUUGCAUAUAACAACACCCUCCAUGCAUCGACUCAACAAACACCAUUCUUUUCCAACUAUAAGUAUCAUCCGAAGCUUGAUUUAUUGAGUCCAUCAACAAAUAACAAUCCAGCAGCUGAAGGAUUUGCGAAGCAACUAUCAGAGCUUCAAACUAUGUUGAAGCUUCAAUUACAAUCCGCUCAAGAAUCCUAUAAGACGUCUGCAGAUAGAUUUCGGAAUCAAGCACCUACUUUCAAAGUUGGAGACAAAGCCUGGCUUCUUCGACGAAAUAUCAAGACCAAGCGACCAUGAAAUAAGUUGGACUAUCGAAGAUUGGGACCAUUUAUCAUCCAGAAGCAAAUUAAUCCAGUGGCAUACCGACUGGAGUUACCGGCUUCUAUGAAGGUACAUCCAGUCUUUCAUGUUUCUCUGUUGGAACCUUAUCGAGAGUCAUCUUUUCCUGGAAGAGUGCAAUGUCUGCCACCUAGUAUUGAAAUCAAGAACCAUGAAGAAUACGAGGUUGAAAAGGUAUUGGAUUCACGGCGAAGGUGAGGAAAGUUAGAAUAUCUUGUUCAUUGGUGCGGCUAUGACAUUAAUGAGCGAACGUGGGAGCCAGCUAAAAAUCUUGCAAAUGCGCCACAAAAGGUACAGGAGUUUCAUCAACGACAUCCUGAUAAACCUAAAUCAAUUCGACGAUAGCUUCUUUCUGAAGCUUGUUCUCCCAACAAUAUAAGAAAAGAGGAGAGCACCAACAAAAUUCGUAGUUGAUGUAGUUAUUUUCUCCAAGAUAGAUCGUAGUUUGGUCUUUUGAUAUGAAUAGCCAAGAGAUAGAUACUAUGCCAGUCAGAGUAUCGCAACCGAGUAGCUCACGAAGGUGACCCCGAGAUGAAGAACUACAUGUACCACGACGACGACGGAGGAUACCGAGUAAUCGAUCACUAGUGAUCGUAUUUGAGAUCGAGCCUGCUUACAAUGGUCAGCCAGAAGGCGUGUUUGCAAGACAAUUUCACAAUGAGGACACGGAAGUUCAUGCUUGGUCAGAAGUCGAAGGCGUGGGCCAUUACCAUUGGCUUCAAGGGUCGAUGAACCACUUGCCUCGUGAACAACAGUUGGAGUUCAUAGCAGAAGUUAUGCGAUAGAUCUUCAUUUUCUUGCGUUGGUACUGAUCAUCAACAUUGCUUCUCAGAGACCUCGAAGCUAAAGGAGGGGGUGAUGUUAGGGACAUAUUCCUUAGAACUUUCUAGAAGAGAAGCCUCUGGAACCUUUUAGAGAGAAGUUUCUAGAAGCUUCUAGAAAGGAAGUCUCUGGAACCUUAUAGAAGAGAAGUUUCUAGAAGCUUCUAGAAAAGAAGCCCCUGGAACUUUCUAGAAGCUUCCUAGUUAAUAGAAGUAGCUCGAGAAGUUUCUAGAACCUUCUAGAAAGGAAGCCUCUGGAACCUUCUAGAAGCUUCCUAGUUAAUAGAAGUAGCUCGAGAAGCUUCCUAAGUAAGAGUAUAUAUAGAGAUCGAGGCUGAAGAGUUCUUCAGUCUCGACAACACAUCUCUUGGAGUUCUAGCUCACCUUUCUGGUGUCGUUCUUGUACUCAUCUGUUUAAUCUAGUUCUGCCACUUCUUCUUGAAUUUCUUGUUAGAUUUCAAGUCUGUAUUUUGUGUCCGUGACAACAGUCUUGUACACAUGUACAAAGUUGUACAUCAAAUUGAUAACUAAACAUCCUUCUACAAAGUCAAAUCAACAACUAUGUCUUGUAUUUAGUAUUAUUCAAAGAAAAUCUUCAAACUUCAAUAUUUAGUCCAAUAACCUUUUGCUUCCAAAACAGCUGAAAUCCUUCUUGGCAUACUUUUGUAUGUUUCUCACAAUCUUUUGCAUCAAAACUAGGAUAAAUACUACAAACAUUCUCCCACAAUUCUUGAACACCUCUUGGCCUUGGAGUGACUUGGCUUAAACGCUGUUUGAGAAGAGCCCAAAAAUGUUCCAUUAGAUUCAAAUCUGGAGAUUGAGCUGGCCAUCGAAGGAGCUGAAAUGGCUGUGAAGAGAGCCAAAACUGAACACUUUUUGCCAUAUGUUUGGGGUCAUUAUCAUGUUGAAAAACCACCUUAGUAGGAUCUAAGUUGUAAUUCUGUGUGGUACUUUGCAAGUAGGUUUCUAAAUAUUUUUUGUACAAGUGUUGCUCCAUUCUACCUUCAAUUUGAUACCAAGCACCCGGUCCAAAAGCAGUCAUACAAUCCCAAAUUAUAAUUGAACCACCACCAUGUUUGACAGUUUGACUAACAUGUUUAGGUCCAGAUCGUUCUCCUUCUCUCAACCAACACCAAGACCUACCAUCUGAGUUGAUUAGGUUAAUCUUUGUCUCAUCACUGAAAAUAACCCAUCUCCAAUCAUCAAUGGUCCAAUUUUUGUAUUUAUGAGCAAAACUCAACCUUGCAAGAACAUGUCUUUUGGCAAGUAGAAGCUUCUUUUGUUGCACACAAGCACCCAAACCAGCUUCUGUCAAACCACGCCUCAAGGUGAUGUCUGAGAAGUGUUUACCUGUUUUUUCUCGAAGUUGUUUUGCAGCUGCACUUGCCGUUUUGAGACAACCAGCAGUGACAAGGUGCACAGCAAGUCGCUUCUCUUGCUCUCCUAAAACCUUUGGACGUCCUCCUCUUUGCUUUUCUAUUUCACCACUAAUCUCCCACCUCAGAUGAGCUACUGAAGACUGACUCAUUCCAAGUAAGUCUGCAACUUUUCUUGUAGAAACACCACUCCUAAGCUGCACCAAUGCUUGGUGCUUCAAUGAUUCACACAACCGAGGCAUAGAGAUACAAUUGACAAAUCAACUUUCACUAUAGAUAGUACACAACAAGAGCAACACAACAAACAAAAAAUGCCCUCAAAUCUUGCAACAAGGAGUGUACAUUGAAAUUUCGAAAUUCAGCAAGAAGAAGCAACCAAAACUGAGUAUGCACGUCUCUGUGCUUCUACAACACUUUUUUCAUAAACCCUACCUCAAAUGAUAAUGAGAUUUUUCAUCCAUGUAGAGGACUGGAUGAAUACACACAAUAAAAAAGUAAUUCUAUCAAUUGACUUAUGUGUCAGUUGGAAGGAUCAAUGAACUAUGAGUGUUCAGAUUUUGUACUCGGUUUUGUUUGUCACUGUAACUAAUAUUUUAAUGUUCUAUUUUUUUAAGUAUUUCUACACUAUUCACCACAUAUUCUGAUUUUAAGUACUCUAAAUGAAUCUUUUUGUCCUAAAACAAAUAAUGAGUAAAUUUAAUGACUCACACAUGCAAUAUAUAUAUAUAUAAAACUAAAAUUAAUCUUUACAUUUUCCAAGCUAAGAUUCUUAGCUUUGAUUUUUUAAAGAAUCACAACACCAUCUUAUAAUCUUCUAAAAUAUCAAAAUGAUUACAUAAUUAAUUUUGAAGUAUGUUUUGAAUAUAUUUUAUAGUAAACUACAUCAAUUUUUUUAAUUAAAAAUUAAAAAUAUACAUAACUUUAAACAUAAAAAAUAAAUAUUUUGAAUUAAAUUUAAAUCUAGAUAAAAAUACAAGCUUUCUAUUAUAAUUACUAAACUUAUCUUUUAAACCAUAUACACCAUAUUUAUUAAAUAUAUAUUUUUUUAAAGAAAUAAAAAUAUUAAGAUAAAAAUAUCAAAUUUUUAUAUAAUACAAAUAAUGCAUUGAAAAAGUAAUAAUUAGAUUAAAUUAUUAAAUAUUUUUUUAAUGAAAAAAAUAUAUAUUUUUCUUAUCUAUCAAUGAAAAAAAUCCAAUCUUUAGUAAAAAUUCUUAUUUUUGAUAUAAUAAAUAAUUAUAUAUAUAUAUAUAUAUAUAAAAUUCUUCUAAACCAAUUAUUUUUUCUUUUAUCUUAUUGAUAAUUUAUUUGUAAUAAUCUAUACUAUAAAAUAUAAUUUAUCAAAUAUUAUAAUCCAACUAUAUAACAAUAUCAGUAAGUUGGUUCUAAAAGCACAUUAUUAGACAAAAAUGUAGAUAUUAUAACUUUUUCUUUGUUUUUUCUUCUCAAUGUAUUUUAUCCUACUUAAAAUUACUUUUAAAAUUUUAAACAUUUUCUACAAUCACAAUAUAUUCUUUUAUCUUAUAUUGACAUCAAUCCGUAUUUUAUUUUAUUUUAUUUUAUACUACUAAGUACAUCAACUUUUUUUUUAUUUUUUAAUUAAUUUUAUUUUUUAAAACCAAUCUAUCCAUCAGUAAGACCAAUUUCUACAAAUAUAGAAAAAUCAUGCUCUCAUCUAAGUGCAAUUUGAAACUAUUCGAUAAACAAUUUGAAAUUAGUGUCAUACAAAAUAUAUAAUUGAAGUGAUUCUAAAAACACAUGUUACUAAUUUAAUUGUUAAAUUAUAAUAAUUAUUUUUUUGAUAUUCUCAAAAGUUAAAAGAUAUAAGCCAAUUAAUCAAUAAAAUAUUAAAUAUAAACAACAUAUUUUAAUUUGACUCAAUAUACUCUAUUUUAUAUUUUUAAAUUUACUUGGUAUACAAUCCUAAAAAAUUUGCAAAAAAAAAAACGUGUGUAUCUUUGUUAUUAUAAAAUUUAUAAUUUAAAAUAUUUGAUAUAUUUUUUAUAUAUUUAUAUAUAUUUUUAGAUUAUAUUAGAAAAAAAUACUAAAAAAAUCUAAAAAUUAUAUAUUUUAGAUACUUAAAUAUUUUGUUGAAGAAAAUAUUCUAUAAAAUUAUUCUUAUACUAUCUUUAUAAUGAAUUUAAUACAGAUAUUAGAAGAAUGCUUAAAAAUAAUAAAAAAAUAUUUCAAAAAAGCUUGUAGAUGUUGUGUUAAUAAAAAAAUAGAUAAGAAAGUCUAUUUUUUAAAAAAAAUUCAACAUAUGUAUUUUAAAAUUAUGUUAUAAAAUCAAAAGUAACUAUAAACUAGAAUUUCUUUUUUCUAAAUUAAAACUUAAAUAAAAAUUAAUUACCAAUUAAGAAAAAUAAUAAAUUUAAUUAAAAUUGACCAUGAUUAAAUUUUGGAAAUUGAGAUUUUAAUUCUUUUAUUGUAAUCAUUUGGAAUUAAUUAGAGAGAUAGAAAAAAUAAAUUAUGAAGAAUUUUCUCAUUCUUAGGUUGCUCUUAUUGUGUCAAAAACACAACAAAACCUUCAGAGACCAUAAUUCUUCCUUCUAGAUUGUAUUAAUUAAUGUUUUAUUUAUAAUCAAAUUAUAAUAAUGAAGGAGAAUUUUAAACAUCUAUUUUAGUAAUUAUGACAUUGCCAAUAGAUUAAAAAAGAUGAAAUUAGCUUGGAAUGCUCUUUUAAACAAUGUCAAUUGAUAAAGUUGCAUUUGUAAAAAUUAGAUCGACUUUGAACAAUUUUCAUCAACAUAGAUUUUUUCUCAAUUGAUUAAGGAUUAGAUCUAUAAUUUCCAAGACAUUUUAAUGAGUAUUGUACUAUUAAUUAGAUGAAUUUAUUAUUAGUCAAUGGUCCUAAACUAUCCAUUAGCCUAAAUUAAGCUAAAAAUAUAUAUUUUAAUAAGAUAAUUAAUCAUAUUAAUAUUAAAAUUUAAAAAAAUUGAAGAAAUAUAGAAAAAAUAAGUAUAAUCAACUAAUAGAGUUUUCAAUAGCAUUCAUAAGGUACUCCAACCUUUUAGCAAAAUAUCACAAAACUAAUCCUUUACAUUUUAGAUUUUUUUUAGAUUUUUGGAAUUUUCAUGAUGUCCUUGUACUAUAAGUUAUUUUUUUCAAUCUGAAUAUAUUUACUUAAAGGUCUAAUUAUAUAAAAAUAGUAAAAGUUUUAAAUUUUAUUAAUUAUAAAAAUAAUAGUGAUAAUCCAAUAAAUAUUUUGUAAAAUUAAUUCACAUAUUUUGGAGUUCUAAUUUUAAAAAGUGAAGUAAGCCUCAAAUACCUCUUUUCACUUGAAUUGCUAUAAUCUUUAAAUGCAAGUUCUUUUCAGUUGAAACUAUAGUGGAAUUAAAAGUAGACCUCAUUACAUCUCAAUCUAUACCAAAAUUAUUGCAAAAAGUAGAAAAUUAUAUAAUCAAAAACAUCACAAUAGACAAAGAUAUGAUUUGGGCAUGGUGAUAUUGAACUUUUUGUAUAUGGUGUUGUAUAAAUAGCCAACAUGUAUUGCAACAUGUCAAGUGCCAUAAACCAUGACAAAUAUGAAAUAAAACACAUGCAUAAAUGCAUCCCAAAUAUACCAUUACAAAGUAUAAAUCUAUCAUAUGGUAGAUUUAUAAAUCUAUAAAUUUGUGGUUAUUAAAGAUUUUUAAAUCUUAAAAAUUUAUUGAUUACAUGAUCUUAAUGUGAGUGCUACCAAUAACUUGAUUGAUUCCUUACAAUUAUUUUAUUUUCUUUUCAAUUUUUGUUAAUUAUAAUUAUAAUUUAAUAAAUAAACGUAUCAAAAUAAAUAUAUUAGCUUUAAAUAAUAUUAAGGGUAGUGUGAGUGGAUUUUUUUUCCCUCACUUAAAUUUAAUUUAAUUAGAUUAUAGCUUAGAUUAGAGCCCAAUAUUAAUUGAUGUGGAGAUGCAAAUCAUAUAUAAGAUAGGAAAAACAAAAUGAUAUAAUGAUCAAGAUUAAUCCAACAACACAACAAGUUAGAUACACAUUUUUAUGAUUUAAUUUUUAGCAUUUGUAGUUCAUUUAAUUAAGUACCUUCCAAGACUUAUUCCAUCAAACUUAAACUCUGAAAAUUAAAAAUUAGAAUAAAAUAAAAUAAAAUAAAUAAUGAAUACCACACUGGAGUGCUAGUCUAAGGCUUUCCAAGAGGGUAUUAACUAUGUAAAUCAGAGUUCUAUAUAGGAAGUUAUCUAUGGAUGAAGUUUUGAUGACAAAACUUCAUCUAGAAUUGAAAAUUUAGUAAUAAAUAGCCUUAAAUAUUUAAGUUCAGCACUAACAUGAUGAUAAGAUUUUUAAGAUAAAAGAUGAAAGUUGGAAGAUUAAAAAAUUAAAAUUAAAAUAUAAAAUUAAAAAUAAAGUUAGAAUCAAUAAUUAAAAGUUAAGUGAAAGUUCAAAAGUAAUAAUAGUAAAAGUUUAAGGGUUAAGGUUAAAAGUAAAAAGUUUGAAGUUGAAGAUUAAAAGUAAAAGUUUAAAUAUUAAGAUUAAAAGCAAUAGGAAAAAAAUUAAAAGAUCAGAUUAAUUUUUAUUUUUUAUUUUAUUUUAUCCUUAAAAGGUAAAAAUGGAUGGAAGAAAAGAAUUUAAGAUUAAUUUCCAAAGUGAGGUAAAAAUUUCUUUGAAAUUAUUAAAUAAUAUUUAUUAAUGAUAAUAAGACGAAUAAGUGAUAAUAUGGCAAUUUAGGUGCUAAAGGAUGUGGUUAGAAGGUGAUUAGGGAAGGAAAAUUUACUUAGAGUAUGUCGAGUUGAGGGCAGCAGAUCCCUUGUCGUUCGGAAAUUUGCCAACAUUUUCCUAUAGCUCCUAUGCACUUGAAAUUUUUUGUGGUUGAGGUUGACUUAGAGUUUAUCCUAUCUACCAAAUUUCAUGGUGAUACGAGGUUUGAUGUCCGAAAUAUGUGUUUUCAAAGCAAGGUGACUUGAGCUGCCCAGGUAGCAGACCCCCUUCUACUUAAAAAUUCACUAAAAAUCGGAUAAUAGUUUAAAAUUGACAAAUAUAAUUAUUCCUAAAACCACACUUAGUAUAGUUCCUUUUCAAAAAUAAAUUAGUAAAAAAAUGUUGGUAAAUACUAAGUUAAAAGUUUUCAAAUUUGGUUGUGUAAAACUAUCAAGGUAGUAGAUCCCUUUGCAUUUAAAAAUUCAUUUAAAAUUUGAUAUAGCUUGGAAAUUAUUGAUUUAAAUUAUAUAGUAAACUAAACUUUAGAGUGCAUUCAUUUCAACAAUCCAAAUCAAAGUUGAGUUCAAGUUCACCGAGUUAUAGAUUUUUUAAGCCGAUGCUCCUACUCUGCUAAGCUAGUAGACCCUUGCCAUCUUGAAAAUUCGCCAAAAAUUCAUCACAACUUCAAACCAAGCGUGCAUUAUGCCGUUACAAAGCUAAAAGUGAUUAGAAUUUUCUUACAAAUUUUCAUAGAAAUAAAAUAAAAAGAGAUAGACUGAGCGAGUUAAAACCAAGGCCAUAUAAGUUUUAAGAAAAAGAUUUGCAUUCACAAGAUGAGGGGACAUUUUGCCAUGGCUUCGCCACAAGAAGAUGGAGAGAGAGGGAGCUUGGCCACCCAAGCCCUCUUAACCAGGUGGGAGGAGGCCCAAAAGUGGCAGAUACAUCUUUACCAUCAAAAUUAGAAAAUCCCUAAUCAAGAUCAAGGGUCCUCAAUAACUCUCAGCCUAAUCCAGAUUUCAAGGCUGGAAAUGACUAGAACUCAAAAACUAACACCACCAAUGUCUCUAAAACAUAUUUUUAUCCUCAGAUCAACUAUUCACAAGCCCAAAUCUGAGUUCUAAAUCAUAAGAACCAAUUAAUUUGCUAAUUUAGUUGUAAAUUUCAACUACAAUUCUAAUUUUAAUUAACCUACUUGGAAAUCAGCAAGGACUCUUGCCAUCGAAGCCUUCAUAAUCACCAUUCUUCAAUUUUAAGUCCCUUAAGCAUGAACUCUUGGAAAAUCCAGAAUCUAAUUGCAAAUUGGCCUUGAAUUAAUACACUUGUGAUAUUUUCCAAUUUUUAUUUUUUCCAACUUCAAGUAGUGAUUAAAAUCACUAUGAGAGGAAACUCCACCAAAAAAUUUAGCUUAUCUCCAUCCUUUUAAGAUCAUCAUUAAUUUAACAAUUAGACUUUAUAUUUUUAAUCCAAUUAAAUUGCAAAAUAAAAUUUAAGCUUAAAAAUCUCAAAAUUAAUUAAGAAGAUAGAGUAAUUAGGUUUAAGGGACUUUCUAACCAUAGUCAAAUUAAACAUUAACUUUUGGAUUGAAAAUUAAGAUUGUGGAUUAAUUUAAGAUAUAAUUCCUAAGAAUUAGAAAAGAAAUUCUACUAAAAUUGUAGUUUUAUCACUAAAAAAAGAUUUAAAGUAAUUCAAGAAAUCAUAGACCUUUUAAAUUUAUUAUUUUUUCUUUUGAGUUUUAAAAUAGUCAAUGAAUCUAUUAAUUAGAAGUAUCCAUCUAAUUAAUAACCUAAAGAUAUGAUCAAAGUCAUAAUUAACUAAAUACUAAUUUGGACCUAUUAAUUUAUUAUAUUAGCAUUAAAAUUACUAAAAAUAUGUUAAAAAUUACAAAAAGAAUUAUAGCUAAUCAUUGGAGCUUUUAAUUAUAUUCACAGGUAGUUUAAAGCUAAUAGUUAAUCUAUUUAAUUUUUACUUUGAUAGUCAUUAGAAAGUCUUGAAGAUAAUAAUUUUAAUUAUUGAUUAAAAAGUAAAAAAUUUAGGUGGUAAAAAACCACUCAAUUUGAUUAUAAUUUUUAAAGAUCCUAUUAUAUUAAUUAAUACUUUGGUCUUAGGUCUUUUCAACAUAAUUUUAUAUUCUAAGACGAUUUGAGAGGAUCAAUUUCUAUUUUUAACUACCUAAUUGUCUUUUCAAAAAUAUUUACUCCACCCACAAGGUUUUUUAAUUUUUAUUGGUCUUUAUUAAUAUUCUUUCUAAUGAAUUAGUGAUAGUUCAAGAAGUUGUUCUAGACUAAUUUUACCAUCUUUAAUUUUUUGAUGAGGCCAAAUUUUCCAAAAGAAAUGUUUGAAUAUUUUCUCCAUUUUCUAAUCUAACAAUUAGUAGAAAAUUGAUUAGUAUUCUCUACAAGAGGUAAAUAUUAUUUCUGUAGGUUUUUCUAUAUUUUGAACACAAUAGAAGCAACUUGAAGUCCAAAAAAUCCUCCCUAAGAUUUUUUUUUCUAAUUUCUUAAUUAAUUCUAUCCAAUAAUAAUUAAAAAGAAACAAUAUCUUGUUCUUCAAGGGCCAAUGAUGCUAACUCUAGUUAAUCUUAUCAUAUUUUUCCAAUAGGUUAUUUUUUCUAAUUGGCUCUCAAACUGAAAUCUCUCUUAAUUUUCUUCAAAUUUCUAAGAUAGUUAAAAAAAACCUUAAAAAUUCAAUGGAAUUUACCCAAAAAAAUCCCACAAUUUCUAAAAUUUCCUUCCAGACUAAUUGAUAGGUCAAGAAUUCAAUUCCGGGGUUAUUUUUCCAUUGCAGAUUUGAUUUAGAAGAUAUUCAAAACCCCGACCCCAAUUCCCAAGAUAUCCCAAACCCCAAUCUUUUUUCUUCUAAUAUCUUUCAAAAAUCAUAAAAAACUUACUCUUAUUUUCAAAAUUUGAAAAACUAUAACGUAAAAGAAAUCCAAUGCUCUCCAUUCAAUGUUAAAAUCUUCAUCAAUUUCUAAAUCAAUCACCUAUCCAAACUCAAUUUCCAACAUACAUUUGAUGAUUCUAACCGCCACAUUCGAAUAAAAUAAAAUAUAAAAGACAAAAAAAAUAUCUUAAAAUCAAAAUAGACUAAUAAUAGCAGUACAAACACGCACAUGGUAAUACUUUCUACUUAAAAAAUCUCAAGUGUUAUUUUUUAAAUCAAAGACCAAUCUGUUACUAUAAAUGAUGAAAAUGUUGAUAUUUUUAACCAUUUUUUUUAAAUUUCAUGGUAAUCCAUUGAUAAACCAGUUGGAGCACCUUGAAGACCGCACCACUAAGCUAAUUAGGGUCUUUGAAGACAAUAGUGAAGACUAAUGUUGGGGACUCUUUAUUUUCUCCUGUUUUUUUGUUUGUUCACCUCCUUUCCAUGCCUACGAUCGUAGAUUUGGGGUUUUGGGACCUUGUCUUCUGUUCAAGCCUUCCUUCUCCUCUCUCGCUCCCUUGAAUGGCAUCGACCACCGACUGAGUUUCCCUUCUUCCGAUCUGUUUCGCGAUGACUCUUCUCCUUCCGAUUUGCUACUUCUUGCGGUAAGUCCGCUCCAUCUCAGCCUUUAGCCAGUGUGUGAUAAAAGAAUGUUAGAGUUUGUUCAGAGGGAGUUCAGAGUUAAGGUGCGCAACUGUCAUCUACGCCGCAUCGUCUUCUUUCUUUGAAUUUGUCUCGAUCCCUAUUGUAUGCGCCUAAAUCAUUACUAAAGUGGAGACUUCCUCGUGUGGAUUUGAUGUCACCACCGCGCCAAUAUGGUGGGAAGGAUGGCCUUUCUUAUAUGAGAGUGUCAGCCCAAAAUCUAGAGUUUAUGAUGCGCUCUCUGGUGUUGCCUAGCAGCGCAAGGAGAGAAGACGGCCCCUGAUCGAUAGUGGUCAUCACUGACGUCAAAAGCGAUGACAAUCUGGCUGCACUGGCAGUUCUCAAGGAAUACUAUUGGUUGGGGCUUGUUGAAUUGCGUGCCGUGAUAGCCAACCGGAUGACAACAGACAACAGACAAGAAGACGAAUGUAUGAGGUAGCGAUCACUUUUUCUUUCACCACAAUCAACCUUAAGUACUAUCUCCUCGCUUUCUGAUUUAGCUCCUCCCUGCAGCGACCUGCUUUGCCGUGUUCUAAGGUCUUGGACACAUUGAAAUACAGGGUUAUGUUAAUAUCUUCAUUCUUUGUUUUUCAGCCUGGGAAAGCCCUCCUCCGUCAUGAAUUGAAAUGCCAACCUUAUUGUUUUGUACGAGGACUGAAUCACGGCUCUGGACUGCUUACUGUGUGUGUGGUGGCCGAGCUUGGAAUUGGAAGCUAGCAAACCUUUGACUCAGUGAUGGAUAGCAUGGAAAUCGAGCUUGGAAGCGAGCUGCUUAAGAACAGCUUGUGUAGGGAAUGUGAGUUCAGAUCAGGCGACUUCCUAAAAUAUUUCAAAAAUCAAGGAGGUCUGGUUUCAAGCGAGCCGGUCAGAUAGUGGGGGUUACAUGACCUUAUGAGAACAGCGAGGGAGUGUCGAUUCUGUUCUUUGGCGCUAAAAGCUGUAAGCAUAGUCCGUGCAGCCGAGGAUCUGCAGUCUGCUUCGGCCGUGUGCUCUAUGACUGUCGAAGCACUUGGUCACACUCAUCCUGACUACUAUUGUGAUACUGAUACAUAUGAGUACAUCUCUCGCCUUCGGUUUGAUCUUAAGGUUGGAGGUGUAAAGCAAAAUUUCUCAUACAGUGACGGUAUCUAGUCAUUGUACCCAACUUACAGUCCUGGUCUCCAGCUUUUUGCUUCGGAUCCAUUGGACGGGAGCAAAGAUUCGAGUCUUCUUGGUCUAUGCAUCGGCAUCUCACAAAUGGGUAUCUCGUUAAGGAACAUUGGCUCUCCUUCUGUGAAGCAAAUCAUCCCGCUUGCAGCCCAGAGUGUUGGUUCGACAAUGCACCUGACCUACUCCUAAGGUCAAUCGAUGUUAAGCGACGCAAGGUCGUUGAGGCGCCGCACAACUGCAGAUGUAUGGCACUUAGCUGCGUAUGGGGUGAUGUGGAACAGUUACAAUUGAAGCGUUAGACAAUGGCAAGACUAAGAGAAGAUGGUGGCGUUUCUGUUGUUACUUCAAAGUCUAUCGUGGACGCCAUUUCCCUUGUUGAAAUAUUUGGUUUAGAGUAUCUCUGGGUUGAUGCCUUGUGCAUCAUCCAGGACGACGAUGAAGAUAGGAAAACACAAAUAGCUAAUAUGGAUGUCGUGUUCACAUGUGCUGUGCUAACAAUCGUUAGCGCCGCCGGGUCUGACGCAAAUGGAGGAUUGCCCGGAAUAUUUCCUGGGUCGAGGCCCAUCACUUAAUUCACUGAGAGUUUCAAUGGGUUGAACCUGUUAACUUCUCAGUGUCCCUUUUCAUGGGCUGUCAGCGAAUCUACAUAUAUAUAUAUAUAUAUAUAUAUAUGUUCCACAUCUAAAAUUUUCAAUAAUUAGUACUAAAUUUUAAGUUAAGUAUGACUUCUUGAAGUAAAAAAUAAUAAUUAAAAUUAAAAAAUUAAAUUAAAUGCUAAUGUUACUAAAAAUAAAAUAAAAUGCUAAUGUUAAUUACAACUAAAAGUGAUCAUGAUCACUUUAGGUUAUGCUGUCUAUAUUAGUUUCAAUAUUAACAAUUAUUGACCGAUUUUUUACUUGAUUAAUCUUGAUAUAAAAAAUAUAUAUUAACUAUAAAAAAAUAAUUACAAAAUCAUAUACAUUUACAUUUUCUUUUUACAAAUAAAUUUUAGAUAAUAUUUUAUUUUUUUAAAAAAAUAAUCUAUGUUUCUUGCAAAAAUAGUAUUUUUUGGAAUUCAUUAUUUUUAAUAAAAGUAGGUAAAAUAUCAUAUAUGCCCCUGAAAUUUGCCGAAUGUCAAAAAUACCCAUGUAUUCUAUUCCUCCCUUUAGUGAUAAUUGCAAAGCAUGAUCGAUGGACUUGAGCGUUGGAUUGCGCUUCAUCACAAACCAAUCAUCUAGAAACGGACGCAACUCUGUGCAUCGGAUUUGAGCUUGGCCUUCACAUCAAGCCCGAGGUGGUUUGCAACUGAAUCUUCUUCAUUUUGAAACCAAUUUAUUUCUUCUUUUGUUACUGUUAGCCAGCAUUCAGAAUAUCAUACACUCCUUGAGAUUUGUUGCUGCCUUGAGACCCAGACCUGCUUCUUAAUAUACACUCACAUUUCUUCAACUGGAUUACAAACUAGUUGAGCAAUUAAUAGUCAAGUGCAUUGACAACUGCGUUACCUAAAAUCAAUGAGUGAAGAUUAUCUUAAUAACAAUCAGAUUAUGUAGACCAAGUGGGCUUUUAAACUUACAGAAAAAGGUGACAAACUGCAACUUUUGCAGUUUUUGAUUUGCUGAAGCUUCUUAGGUAGCAAUUCUAAGUUUAGCACAUCUAGUUGUUUUAUGAUUUUUGGAUUAAUUUAUCUAUGCACCAAUUGCUACCUAAUCACUAGAAAAAAAAAAAAAAAAAAAAAAAAAAAUUGGUGCUUAGAUAAAUUAGUCCAAAAAUUACAAAAAAAUUAAAAAAAAAUAGAUGUGGUAUUUUUUAUUUUUUAUUUUUUUCAAAUUUUCAAAUUUUCAUCUGACACCAAGAUGUUUAAGAUCUUUUAGUUAUUUAUUUAUUUAUUCAAUUCCAAUUUUUAUUUAUUUAAAUUCAAAAAUAAUUAUUUCAAAAAAUAUUUAUAUUUAAGAUUUUUAAAAAAAUAUUUAUAUUUGUAGUUCAAUAAAUAAUGAACCAUUCAUAAUUUAAUUUUUAUAAAAAUAGUAAUAAUAAUUUCAAACAACCAUUUUAGUUUUAUAUUUAAUCUCCAAACUACACAUAAUAUUGGUCAUCAUUGUUUCUUUUGAAAAUUUCUAAAACAUUUUAAAAAUAUUUGAACAUAUUUAUACAUAUAAUUUAUUUUUUUUAAAUUUUUAAAAAGAUAAGAUCUUACAAUGACAUUUUCAAGAUACUAACAAGUCAAUUAUAACAAUUGUUAAAAGUUGGGAUUUUUUCAAACUUAUUUUUGAUAGUAAGACACUUUAAGAAUUUGUGAAAGAAUGAAGUUCUAUCUGGUAGCUUCAGUACUUAUUCUAGAUCUCUUACUAGUGUCUUUGUAACUUUAGAAAUAUUAAUUCAUUUUAAGAUACCACCAAAUCUUAAUAGCAAAAAAUAAAUAAAAAUAAUAAUUUAUGUCUGUAUUAUCAUUUACAAGAUUUUAUUAACCUUUUCAUUUUUUUAUUAUAUUACAUAAUAUUAUUCAAAAUAAAUAAAAUAAAAUCCUACUUUUAUUUCUUUAGAUGGUUACAAUUUUAUGGAUUUUAUUUUUUAUAAUUUUAUAAUAAAAAUAAAAAAAUCUAUAAAUUGAUGAUUAAUUUAUAAAUAAUAUUAAAAUAAAAAUUUGAUUUAUUUCAAUGAGUGCUUAAUAUGCAUUUAUCUUUAAUAUUCUGACAUAAAGAUAAUUUGUGUCAAUUAAGACAAAUCAUAUUGUUCUAUAUCUUAUUCUAAAUUUUAAAAAAAUUAAAAAAAAAAUUAUUAUAUUAUAAAUUUUAGUUAAAAAAUAUAUUUUUGAUUAGACAUACACACAUCUAUAUAUGUAUGAAAAUAUACAUGUAUCAAUAUAAAAAUUUAAACAUCUACUUCAAAGUUUAAUGUAAAAAUAAAUAAAUAAUAGUUUUUUUAGGCAAUUUGUCAUAUGAUUACAUUACAAAGAUUUUCUUGCUACACUUUAAAAAAAAAUAAUGGACGUGGCUAUAUACAAUCAAUUUUUUAUUGUAAUCAAUAAAAAGUUAUAUGUUAUUUAUUUUAAGUCUAAAAUAAAAUAAUAUUCCUUUAAAAUAUAUAUAUAUAUAUAUAUAUAUAUAUUUAAUUUAGUUCAAAAUUUUCUUCAUAUUUUGAUUCAAAAUAUAAUUAUUAAAAAUAAAAUCAAACAUUACAUUAAUUAGUGCUUCAAUAACAAAAUAAAAUUGGUUUUUUGCAAGAUAAGCAAUUAUGCCCAGUAUUUUUGCAUUGACUACAUCUAAUCACUCUUUUGGUUGUUUCCAUAUCCUUUGUAUGGAUGCGACCCUUUAGGAGAUAACUAGAUAUAUGUCAUGUGAAGAGUGGUAGGAUUAGAGUGACAUCAAUUUUAUUGUUGCUUGGUUUUGUCCAAUGCUCAAUGGAUCGUAUUGAGGUGAUGGCUACUACAUAAAUUUCUUAUUAGACUUGAAUAGUUUGAAAGUAAGUAAUAUAAUCAGCAACUGAUUGUUACAUGAAUAACAUAAUGCUAAUUGCAUGCACACAUGGGAUUCUAGAUAGCUGCCAUUGAUUGUAAGUAUAUAUGUGGUUUUAUAAAUUUAAGUCAAAUGAGUAUUCUGACAUGCAUUCAAAGAUGGUAUAGAAUAAAAGAAUGAUGCAAUAGCCAUAUGCAAAUAUCAGUAACUAUUGAAUUUAUUAAUGUGCACUAGUUGACAAUGAUCCAAUAAUUGCGUUUGUAAUAAUACGUCACUCAUUAUACCAUGCUAUGAAUUGACAAAAAAUUAUUUUUAGCAUCAGAAUCAACAGUAUCUCAUGUGCUUCUAAGAUCUAGGAAUUUAAAGAUUUUGUAAUAUUCAAAGUCAUGUGGCCAAAUUGGUUUUUGUCAAAUUAUGAAAAUAUCUAAUAUUGUGAUCCAAUUUUCAUCAAAUACUAUGCAACUUCUUCAGAUAUAGCCUAAACUUUUGAGAGUUUGAUGUUGAAAUUUGAAAUAGUUGAUGCAUGUAUUGCUGCCCAGAGAUGUCAUAUAAGCAUUGGAUUUUUAAAUUGUCAUUGUAAUUUUUCAACUAAAUGGUAUAUGAAAAAUGAGUAUUUGCAUAUGGGAAAUAUAAGAUUGAUAGCAUCAAUAAGACCUUUUUGUUAAUAAGACAAAAAUGUGAACUUUGAAAGUUUGUAGUUUAGUGGAUGGGAUGUAAGAAUUGGUGUCUUCACUUUUUGUAAGAGCCAUAGUCAAUAGUCACUAUUUUCAACAUUCACAAUACUAAUGCAAUAGGAAUUAGUUGCCCAUUUAUAUUAAUUGUUAUAGCAGCAAGGAAUAUCUCACAAUAUUUUUUUAUAAAUGAGAGAUGUUUAUGGCAAUGACAAGUUAACAAUGUUGCGAGCCAUAUAAACUUCUAUUGUAUGCAACAAACAAUUAAAGAAAGCAAUUUUAUGCAUCAACUUCUAAUUUUAAUGUCAUUGAUGUAGGAUUAAAAAACAAAAAAUAGAUAGCUUAUUAAAUUGAAGGGCACAUUAGCAAGUAUCACAAAAAAGAAGGAUAGAUUUGAUAUUAUCAAGAAUACAUGGGUAUUUUUAAUAUUUUGGAAAAUUUCAGAAGUAUGUAUGAUAUUUUUCCAUAAAAAUAUAAGGAUUCUAAAAAUAUUCACUGAAUGUCAUAAAUUUAACAACUUUUAGAUUUAAAUUUAUAGAAAUUAUAAUAUUUUCUUAUAUAUAUAUAUAUAUAUAUAUAUAUGUAUCUAUAUAAUUGUUUAUCUAAAUAAAUUACCAAAUAAAUAAAUUUUAAUAUUAAAAAUAUUAUUAAUAAUAAAAUUCUUUAUUAGAUGUCUUAUAUAAUAAUUAAUUUAAAUAAAACUUAUUUUAUGUAUAUUUAAAUAUAAUUUAAACUAAUAGAAUAAUUUUUUUAUUAAACAUAUAGAACAUAGCUAUUGUAUUAUAUAAUCUAAGACUACUCAUGUUGUAAUUAUUAAUACACUUGUAACUAUAAAUCAAAAAUGUGUAUAUAUAUAUAUAUAUAUAUAUAUAUAUAUAUAUGUUAAAAAAAUUAACCAUAAAGUAAUAAGAACAUAUUAUUUGAAGACUAGAAUAUAAGUGAUGUGGUGACAAGAUUAAGAAUAAAUUCAAUCCUAUUUAUACCAAAUUACACAAAGAUUGUAUAAAAUCUAUUUAAGAACCUCAAAGCUUGCAAGAUAGGAGUCCAAGAUGUAAAAUACUUCUAUAAUAUUUUAUAGAUUUAAAAUAAUAAAUAAAUAAAUAAAUAAUAAUUUAAAUAACUUUUUAUUGCUACUAAAAUUUUUAAAAAUGCUUAUAGAUCUAAUAGCAUCUAAGAAGCUUCUAUAAUAUUUAAUAAUAAAAUAUUAUUUAUUAAAAAAAUAUUAAAUUCCAUAUACCUUCAUAUUUUUUUUAAAAUACUUCUAUUUACUUAGAUUGUUAUAAUUAUUUUUGUGUGCUCCAAUGACCAUUUAAAUUUAUUUAGUUUUUUUUCUAUUCAUUAUUGUUUCAUUAGAUAUCUUAAAUAAUUUUAAAAGAAUAAAGUAUACCACUAUUUUUUAUUUAGAAUUAUUUCAAUAUAUUAAUUAAAUAGAAGUUAUAUUUAUCAUUUUUCUAAUUUAAAUAUAAAGUAGAUUUGAUAUCUAUUAAUAAAAAAGAAAUACUUGAAAUACUAAUAGAUACUCAAAGUCAUAAUAUUUAUUAAAAAUAUAAUUUAUUGAUAUUUAAAUAUUCUAAUUUAUUUAAAUGUAGUAAAAUUAAUUAAUUAAUUAAAUAAAUAAAUUUAUAUCUAUAAAUUAUUUGGAAUAAUCAAAAAUUAUUUUAUUGUGACUUAUUCAAGACAAAUUUUAAAACUUCUUACAGAAUUCUUUGACUUUUAGUAAUAUUAUACCAAAUUUUUAAAAAUUAUUUCUAUUUAAUAUAAUACUAUUAUUUUAAAAUAUUUUCUAUUGGCUAAUGAACUUUUAUCUUGAUGGACCAAAUAUCUACAAAUCUAUACAAACAUAAUUGGAUAAAAUAAAAUAAUUGAUCUAAAUACAUCUAAAAUAUAAUAGACGAGUACAUUUUAUAAUAAUAUAUAUGAUAAAUUUUAUACAACUUAAAGUCAUCCUACUACAUAUUUUGAAUAUAUCAAAUACACAUUAAAAUUUAAUUGUAGUUCAUUUUUAUCCAAUUUGAUAUGUAUUUAGUUUUAAAAUAGUUUAAAAAUAAUUAAAAAUAAAUAUUAAUUGGAUUAAAGAAAAUUUUAGUAGCUAUACAUAUACUACUUAUAUAGCUAUAAUCUUGUUGUUUGAGCUUUUAAUACCUUGCUAAUUAACCACCAUUGGAAACUUGUUUAUAAUACUUAUUAAAUAAGUUAUUAGUAUAUAUAUAUAUAUAUAUAUACUUACAAGACUUUUUAAUCAAAUUUUUCAAGAAAUUUCUUAAAAAAAAGACUUGAUACAACUUAUUUCUAGAAUUUCUUACCAAAUGCUUUUACAAAGUUUUGUUUUUAAACAUUCUAAGAUCUUUAUUUAAGAAAAAAAAUGCAAUUAAGUUCUAGAAGAGUUUAUAAAUUUAUACUUGUAAUACUUGAAUUUAUAAUAUAUAAUAUUUUAUACUUUUAUAAAAUCUAGGAUCAAAAAUAUGUGUGUUAUGUGGUUUAUCAUUAAAAAUAAAAAUAAUGUAAAAAGAUUGUGGAUUGAUUUGACUUUGAACAAAAUACACACAACUAAAUAUUCUCCUCUCAAACAAGACAAGCUUUUAUCCUAACGGUCACAUGCGUUUCAAAUCUGCUUGUCAAAAGAAGUGCAUAUUGGAAGUGAGAGGAAGUGCAGUAUUAAUUUCAAAGGGAGCUCGGGUUCCCACUUGCGAUCUAAACAAGAAACAAGCAGUAACAUAUUGCACGAUAUCUCUACUUCAAGGUCAACAUGCUUAUGAAAUUAGUAAGUCGUAUUUGAAUUAAUCGCCUGUUAACAUGUAAACCAACAAGAGAUAUUUUGCAUUGAAAUCAGGGCACGUUCUUAAAUAACUGAUCCAAUCCUUUUCAUUGUAAGGAUAUUUAUUUCAAACUGGUACGCAAUGAAUAGCAAACCAUUUGUAUAUUAAUGAAGCUAUCCGAAUAGAUCUGCCCAAGGAUAGGCUAUAAUUCUACGCAAUAUACUAAUAUCACCUUCACAAGUGGACAAAAGCACAUUGAAGAUAUGAAUACUGGUGUACAGAUCCCACAUUCGAACCACUGAGACUUAUAAGAAACACCGAGUGCAUUGUUUUUGUAAAUCCUACGGCCAUGUAACAACUGUGCACCAUAGGUAUUACUCAGAAAAGAAAUUGGAACGAAAAUUGGUAGACCAAUGCAGCCUCCAACGUGACACCACAGUAUGACUGUUCCACUUAAUCAGUUAAAAUCACAGAUUUGGAUCUUUUUUCUUGCUGAUCCGUCGGUCGAUGUAUGCAUGAUGGAGACGUUACUGAGGUGCAACAGCUUGUGAGCGGUAAUCACCUUACUAAUUCUGUCGAAUCAGGUCUGAGAAAACCAAAGUUGGUGCACUGAUGUGUAGUAGUUCCUGUAUGGUCAUGUCAGAAUGAUAAUGUGCACCUCCCAAUCUCAAUAUGAGCACAUCUCGAAAUUCUAUCCUUGAAGGUAUCCCGCAGAAUGGAAACUGUUAGGACAUCACGAGUGAUCUUCACAUCUGUGCCUUGAGUUGCCGUUCCAGAUGUCCAAACAGAGAUAGCAACGACACACAAGCUAAAUGCAUGAUGUCACCAUCACCUCCGCAAAUUUCAGACCCUUCGCACAUCCUCAUUUACGAACAUCCCAUCAACUCUAGAAACUCCUGAAAAUCCACAUGGCCAUCCCCAUCUUUGUCCACGCUAUUGAUCAUUUGGCGGCAUUCUUCAAUUGAAUGACCUUUGUCUCCAAGACUGACCAAAACAGACUGCAAUUCGUUCGCAGAGAUGCGACUGUCUCCAUCCUUAUCAAACAUUUGAAAUGCAUCUCUCAUUGGAUCCAUAUCGGGAGAAAUCUCGCCGUUGAGAACUCCAGGCUUGCUAGACGUGUGAAAUGCAACAAACUCAGCCAAGCUAAUAAACCCGUCAUUAUCCGUAUCAACCUCCUCCAUAAUUUGGACAAUCUCCUGUUCCGAAAUUGCACCGCAAAGAGACGUAAGAACAGAACUAAGCUCCGCCAGCGAAAUCCUUCCGUCUUUAUCAGCGUCAUACACCUUGAACGCUUUCUCCAUCUCCUGGUCGGACUUCGAACCAGACACCACCGGUGGAACAGUUACUCCACCGCCAUUCUUUUCCGAAUUGGUUCGCUUCGACCUCAAGUUAGCCCUACUCGUUAUCUUAGACAUUAUCCCUUGCUUCCCUGAACUCUCGUCCUUCGGUGCCUUCACCGCCACUUUUCUAUUAACCUUCGGAGAAACAGAGGUGCCCGCGGCUGGAACUACAGGCCCGCCGUUCCCAUUCCCAUUUCUACUAUAAUCCAACGUCCCGCUCUCCUGCUUCUUCGACUUCCCAAGGCUCGCAAAUCCCUUCAUCUUACCACUCUUGGAAACAAAAAUUUCCACGCCUCUCUUCCAACUCCCUGUCACACAGCCCCUGCCUAUCUAUCACACUGUCUCGAAGAAAACCCUAAAAUAUCCUGCAGAAGCGCAAUAAUACUAGUUCAGCAGACAGGAACCUCACAAGGCAACUUCCAGUUGGAUCUCUUACAAAGCUCCAUCAGCUAGUUCAGAGCGCACAGAACCAUGGUGCAGGCGAGGAGUCACACUUAUACGCCCUCCUGUCGGCGUGUAAAUUCUGUGCUGGCAGACGAAGGAAGCUUCGACGAUAGUCCGAAGUCCACAUUACCGCCGAUUCUUCGUUCCUUCCCGCCACCGAGUGCUCUAGUCACGAUGCUGCCGUCAACUAAGGCAUCGUGGUCGUCCAGCUGUAACAAGCCUGUUUGGUGGCUUUUCCCGCGGUUUAACGAAGACGCGAUUCUACACUUUGUAUACGUGUCGUAUGGGUCACUUCAGUAUGCUUCACUUUGGCAUUGUUACAUGGAAAUUUAUUUUUAUAAAAUUAUAAUUUUAUAAAAAAAUUAAUAAAAAUUUCAAAAGAUUAUUACUUUAGUCACCUAUUAUAACUUUUUACAAUCUUUCAAAAUUUUUAUAUAUUCUUAUUAUUAUUUUUAGACUUUAAUAUCCUUCAUAAUGUACUAAAAUCUUCUAAUGCCUUCUAGAAGUUUUAAUAGAAUAUUCUUUGUAGUUAAAGAAUAAUAUUUAGAAAAUUUUAUAGAAUCUACUUGCCUUUAUUAAAAAUAAGAGGACUUUAUAAAGAUCACCUAAUUUUUGCCAACUCCAGUUUUAGAGCAAUCUAAGUUUUUUCUUGUUUCUAAACAUAAAUCAUAUCUUGUUUCUAUUCUAAAGUCUUAUUUUUCUUGUGCUUCUUAACUUCUUUUUUUAUAAUUCUUAUAUCCUAAUAAAUAUUAAUUCUAUAAAUAUAUCUAUUCAUGACUUAAUAUUAAUAUUUUUUAUUAUAAAUCUUAUUAAUAUGUAAAUUUAUGAAUUUUUUUGUACAACUUAAAUGCCAUAAAAUUAUAAAAAUUAAAUUAAAAUAUUUUUUUAAGAAAAUAUUAAAUGAACUUAGGAUUUCACUAAAUUUAUCCACCUAUACUAACCAUCAUGGAAAAAAAUGACCUCUAGAUUCAUUUAUCUAUUGUUCAAUCUAAAACCAAUGAAAAUCAAUCACAUUUAUUAUGAUUAUCAUAUUCUUCAUUAUACAUAGGUCAAUCUAAUAAAAAUGUAGAUCUAUUUGAUAUCUUUCUUAUUUUAUAAUAUUUAAUAUCUAUUUUUAGUUUUUUACUAGUAAAAAUAGUAUCAAUUAUAUUAGCCUAAUAAUAGUUUUAGAAAAUUUUGAGAUAUUUUUCAAAUCAUUAAAUAUUUUUUAUUAUAAAAUAAUUUAAUAACAUGUAAAAAAUUAAAUAUUUUAUAUAUAUUUCUUAUAUUAUUUUUAAUUAAAUCAUAAUUAAUGAUAAUGUAAUAUUAUUUUUAAAAAUUUAUAUGCAAUAUAUGUACUUAUAAACAUGAUAUAUAUAAAAAAUCUUCCAUAUUUUGCAUUAAUUCCAUGAAAUAUAUGAAAAUAAAAUUAAAGUUAAAAUCUUAAAAAAUAAUUCAUUAUCAUAUUAUAGAUUUGAAUAUUUAGUGUUUCUAAAUUUUUUCUAUCAAAUUGAUUUGAUUUGUAAAACUAUGUAAUCCACUAUAAACAUAUAUUUGAUUAAAUUGUUUGAAUAAUAGUUUUUAAAAAAUUAAUAUAGUAAUUGAUUAUUUAUAAGAAAUAUUCUUAAUAAAUGUCUUAUUAUUGAUUCUAUUUCAAAAUUAAUUGAAUUGAAUUUAUUUUAUCUUAUUUUAUUUUUGUUAUUUUGAACAAUGAUAAAUUUAUAUAUAAUAAUAAAUGUAAAAUUAAUUCAACAUAAUCAUUACAUGGAUAAGCAACUUCACUCCUUUCAUGAAAACUUAUGCUAAUUCAACUUUACUAACAAUGUCUUCUAACAAAAAAUCUUCUCAAGCAUCUUAAUUCUCACAAUUAUGAAUUCAUAAUCAAGCACAGUUUGUAAUUUUUUUGCAAACACAUGUAAAAUAUGCUUAUCAUGUGAUAUAAUAUUGGGUGCCAAAUUCCAUCAAAUAUAUGUAGUUUAAUUUGGUUAGUGGUUUUUUAUCCAUUAAUAGUUUUUUUAUUAAUUGAUUUUGUUCAUAUCAACUUAGAUUUGAAUAUUUAAAUAGAAAAAAAUGCUUGACUUGAUUAUCUUAUCAAGUCAAGUCUUAUAAGUAAUUUGAGAGUGAGAGACCUUAUUAUAAGGCUUUGCUUCACUAUAGUGAUCUAGCUAUUUUAGUAAAGCUUUAAGAUUUUCCUUAAAUUUACACUUCUAUGUUUAGAUUCCUCUUUUGUGGUGUCACAGAUAGAUUAAUUUAGUUUUGUGUAGAUUCCUAAUCUUUCAUUUGAUAAGAAUAUCUUCUUUUCUUCAAUUUGUAAUAUAUCAAGUUAGAAUGAAGUAAAUCUUAAAAAAAUAAAAAAUAAAUUACAAUUUAGAUUUUUUUUUGGAAUAAGAUUCUAAGCAUUGAUGUGUUGAGGCAUUGAAAUCCACGUGUACUACAUUUUUUUGUAUUGGAGCCAUAUAGUGACAAAAUACAAUAUAAUAUUAGAUGGUGCUAGAACUAGAUUGUGCAAAUUGUAGAGCAUGGAGUUGUAGCACUAGUGUAGGUCGUGGGAACAUGGUUGCGGAGAUGAGCUGUAGCAUAAGGAUAUAAUACAAUAAGGUUGGUGAAGUAGUGCAAAAUAAAGAAAGUAGUGAAAAGAUGCUAAUUUGCAAUGUAGAUUGAGUUGCUAAGUAAAACAUAAGUCAAUUGCAAUCAAGUUGACAUAUUCAUUGUAAAACAAUAGGCUAUUUAUUUAUUUAUUUAUUUUUUGAUGAUAACAAAGUAUUGUAUAAGAGUUUGGUGCAUUGUGGCACAAAGGCUCAAUCAAGAUUAUAAUAUAGGAUUUUGGUUGCAAGAGCAAUGUGAUGCAAGAAGAUUUUGAUGCGUUAGGAUGUAAUAAGCUCAUCAAGCAUUAUGUAAAUAGACAAAGUUGUUGAUACAAAGGUACUUGGUGCAAGGUAUUUGUACUUGUGGUGGAGGUAUACAUUAAAAAUUGAUAUCUUGUAAUGACUAGCGACAAUCAACAAUAAGAGACAAUGGAAAGCUCACUCCAAGUACAUAUAGAGUCUAAAUUUGAUUAUUUUUUAAUCAAUUUUAUACAAAAGAGGCCUAAAGAAUCCAGUGGCAUGUUCAAUUUUUAGAAUAGAAAUUAUUUAGAACAUGGAAGUGGUAUUUACUAAAUAUUGAUUGCUUUCUAAGUAAAUUUUUGAUUUUGUUUUACUUCUCCAUAUUUCAUUUUAUUGUAAGUGUCUUUUAUUGUCACAAGUUCUAAAAUUUAUAAACAUUAACCAUAGAUGGAUGCUAGUUUUUUUAAUUUACUUUUGAUUUUUUCUUGUGUAUUAUUAAAAAUAAAGAUUAAAUAUAGAUUUUUAGAUUUUAUUUUUGAUAUCUUCUUUUAGUUACAAAUAUUAUUUCUAGAGGUUUUAUAUGCUUAUUCUAUUUUGUAUUUAUACUAGUUUGUAUUGAUAGGCAUACUAUAGAAAUAAAAUUGGAUUGAUGGCUAGUGAGAUCUUUUUGUUUAUAGAUAUAUUGGAAUUGAGUAAUUUAAAGAUGAUUGCCAUUGAACUACAAAAUUUGGUAGUGUUUGUAAGUGCAAGUUACCCUUGUAGCCUUUAAAUAGUCACAAAUACUCAAGUAGUUUCUUUUUUGGUGCAUAUUAAGAAUUGAUAUUAUCUAUUUCUUUUACUAGACUACUUAGAAAAUUUUUACAUCAAGGACUUUGGACUAGGAGUAAAUACUUAUAAGGCUUUUUAGUCUGUUUUAAUAUUGGAUACUAUUCCAAGACUUUAGAUCUUAGAGGUAUAGAUAUUUUACAAAUUAAAUAAUAAUCCUUACAAUAUAGUUAAAGAUAGAUUCUCAAGAAGAGUUGAGGGCAUUUCUUUGUCGAAUUAGAAACUUAAGUUUCAAACAUAGAUGAAGGAGAAGCAUCAAAGAUCUCUCACUUUCAAUAAGUGGUAUACCUUUGAGCUCUUAUCACAACAUUUGGAGCACAAGGUGCUCCAAACCUAUAGAAAAUAGCAUGAGAAACAUUCAUAUGAGUUGCAUAAAGUAGAGCAUUAUUAAAAGGUAAGUAUAAAUUUUAUUUUAGCUCUUAAAGAGGGUGCUAUUUCAAGCUUAAUGCCUAUAAUGAAAAAAGAAGAUCCAAUCUAUGAAAAAAUUUCUACAUCUUUAGAAGAUAAUAAAAGAAAAAAAGUAGUUAUUACUUUAAGCAAUACUCCACAUACUUUGUCUUGCAAUGAAUAAGUAUUGAAGGUAUUUUUAUCUAAAGUAAAAGAAUCAAUAUCAUUUCAACUUCUCCAAAUGUUUAUUAAGUACUUGAAGCACAAAUAUAGAGGUUUUAGGUGUCAUCAAAUGCAAUGCAUUUAAGACUUUUAUUGUAAAAAAAAUACUUUAUAUAACAUACAUACUUGUUUAGCUCAAUUUGUAAUAGAAUCAAAAGAUGUGUUUACUGAGAGCCAAUUUGUUAAGAUUUUCUUAUCUAAAAUUGACAAAAAAACUCUUAAAUUUAGCUAUACUAAGAAUUAUUUUCAACCAUAAUGAUAAGGCAACAUUAGCACCAGUAUUUGCUGAAGUUGAGAAAUGCAAUAAGAUACUUUAUCAAUAUGAUGCUAUUAACAUGGUAGUUUGAAUAAUGGAUGAGUUAAGAUCCAAAAAAAUUGCAAUUGUGACAAGUAACUUAGCAAAAAUUCAACUUGAAAGGACUAUGUAUAAUUAGAGGUGUCAUGAAUCUAAUCACACAAAGAAUGAUUUCAACUAUCCCAAGAAGAAGAAAGUCUUAUACAUGAAGAAGUCUAAGCCAAAAGUUGAGAUGGCUAAAAUAGGAAAUAAAUCUCAAAAGAAGCAAUUAAAUUGUAUUCAUUGUAAUAAGCUUAAUCACAAUGAAGAUAAUUGCUUCAUAUUACAUUUAUACAAAUGACAUAUUUUAGGUGAGGAAAAAAAUUUAGAAGCUAAAAUUGCUAAGCUAGAAAAGAGAUUUAAUAGCAUAGCCUCAUUGGGCUAAUUCAUUAGAUCUCAUGUGACUUCUAGAGGUGGAAUAAGUUCUUUUUUUCUAAAAAUGUAUAUGUUUAGUGCAUCAAGAGAAAUAGUAGUUGCAACUACUACACAUGCCUAAAUAAUAGUUAAGAAUAUGGCACCUACAAUAAGUGAGGUACUUAAAACUUUGUAUAGCUAUCCAAGUAAUUAUAGGGAUUUUAAUAUUUAUGUAUAAUUUUUUUUACUAUUUGGACUUAUAGAGGUUAAUUCUAUGGCAAAGCCUUCCAUUUCAACUUCAAUAUAAUAUAAAGCUACUAGUGUUGAAAAUAUGGUAUAUACUUUGGCUUACAAAGUAUUGAAUAUACCUAUAUUUUGUAGUAUUGACUUGUUGGCUUUAAAAUUUAAACUAAGAAGAAUCUUUCAAUUAGUUGAUGAAAUGUUAAAAGGCAAAGUAUCUAUGCCAUCAUUAUAAAGGGAUCAAGCAGUUACAAAGUCUUCAAUAAAGGAUGAUUUAUCUAAGUUACAAAUAAAGCUUACAACUAAAGCUAUUGUAAUAUUUGAUGAAGGUCACUUAAUGGCAAAAAAUAUAAAUCCUUUAAAAGAGGUACCAUUGGCUAUAGAGCUAGCAUUUUUAUUUGAUGUUCUAGCUAGACAUGCUAAAAAAUGUCAAAAUUUGUAUCUAUGAGAUUUAUAAUUAAUAAUAAUAAUAAUAAUAUGCUUAUUAUUAGUAAUAUUAAUGGUUAUAUUACUUGUGUUAUACCUUCGCAUGUUAAAUUGGUAAUCUAUCAUAGAUAUAAUAUAUAAAAAAUUAAAUAAGAAGUUGAAUAAAAGAGUUUCAAGAAAGCUAACAAAAUUUUGAUUAAACCAGAUGAGUACAAGAUUAAUAUCCAAAGAAAUGAAUUAGAACUCCAAGAGAUGUGUUGUUGAGAUUGACAAUCCUUUCAAAUUUGACUCUAAUAUAUAUUACAUAUUAAGAAGCUUCUUGAAAAGUUUUUAUGUUGCUUGAAGAUGAAGCAAACUUAGGAAAUUUCUUAAGAAGUUUUCAUAUUGCUUGAAGAUGAAGCAAUUUUAAGAAGUUCUUCAAAUAACUUCUUUAAUAUUUUUAGAAUUUUAAAAAUAUACUAGGAUAUUCUAAAAACCAUCUAAAAUCUUUUAAGAUAUUUUGAAAAUCUUUUAAAAAUCUUUUAGAACCUUCUAAAAUCUAAUAGAAUAUUUUAAGAAUAUUCUUAGAAUCUUUUGUUGGAUAUCUAUAACAUCACUUCUUCUUCUAACUCCAAGUUCUAUGAGGAGCAUUGGUUUUAUAUUUUCUUUCUUUGUUUAAAACCAACAUCUUAAUAGUAGCUUUAUAGAAAAGUCAUCCUAAAAUAGAUUUAGGUUUUUAAAGAUAGCAUCAAUGAAAUUCAUAUAUCUUUUGUGGUACUUUAAUUGGAUUUUUUGUUAAUUCUCAUGAAUAUUCAUUGAUGUUGUAGCCAUACUAAUGAAUAAAAUACUCCAACUUGCUUCUACUUUGUCAAGAAUUAAAGAUCUUUUUGACCUCAUAUUCUACAUGAUUAUCUAUUUUAAUGCAAGAUAGUGAUAGUUGUAUUUUUCAUAAAAUAAUUGAUUCUAAAUAAGCUUCUAAGAGAGAAAUAUGAAAGAUUAGAUGUAACUUUAUAGAUGGAGCUUCAAAGUUAUUUGGAGUUGUGACAAUUAUUACUAGAUUUUCAUCUUUUGAUGUAUCUAAUAAAUUAAGCUUUGGAUAGUAAUCAUAAUUAGUAUAAAAUGAUGUUUAUUAAGUUAAAGUAUAAAGAAUAUUAUUAUAAACAAACUCCACUAAAGAUAAAUUCAAAAUUCAAUCAUCUUAUUGAUAGAUUAUGGUACAUCAUAAAUACUAAUUCAAAACUUAAUUGACUUAUUCUGUUUGAUCAUUGAUUUAAGACUGGAAGGUAGAAAAAAGUUAAAUAUCCACCUUCAAUAUCUCAAAAAAAUAUUUUCAAAACUUUGAUAUAAAUUAAGGUCCUCAAUCAAAAACGAUAUUAUCAGGUAGGCUAUAAUAUCAAUAUACAUUAUUAAAAAAGAGCCUUACCAUUUUUUCUCUAAAAAUUACCUUUUUAUAUGAGACAAAAUGUAACAUCUAUGUAAGUUGAUCCACAAAAAUAUAGAUUGCAUCAAAUGUAGUCGAUGGUGGUAGAGUAGUGAUGAAAUCUAAUGAUAAAAAAGACCAUGGUUGAUUUAAAAUUGAUAGUAGUUAUAGAAGUCUACAGGAAUAAUAUCGGGAAUUCUUAGAUUUUGAAUAGAUAUCACAUGAGAAGAUAAAGUCUUUUAGAAUCUUCUACAUUUGAAGCCAUUAGAAAUCUUGAGAAAUAAGCUCCAAUGUUUUCUUAAAUCCAAUAUGUCUUACAGCUAGAAAACCAUAACAAGAUUGAAAAAUAUGAAGUUACAUGAAUUUGUAUGGAAUAUAUAAAUGAUCUUCAAAAUAUAAAAGAUCUUCCAUAAAUUUGAACUUAUUGUUGUCAAAGCACUACUUGAUAUUAUGAACUAAAGUGUUAUUAGUUGAUGUUGUACAAAUUUAUUUAAAAAAAUUUAAAUCAAUAAGUAUAAUCAUGGAAGUAGCACAAAGACAAAAUUCUUUUUACUUCAAGAGAAUAAUAUAUUAUUGAUCAAAUGCUACUUUUUAGAUCUUUCAAGUAAGAUAUGAUCUUCUUAAUAAAUCAUGUAAUAGUCUUUGUUACUUACUUAGUUAAUAUGUAAUCAAAAUAUUAAAAUAAUAUAAUAACAUAAUUCAAUAAAUUUAGCAACAAUUCAAAACUUAAGUUAAUAUAAAAUACUAUAAUUUUUUGUGAUUUGUAUAUAUAAUCAUAGGAUGUAUAGUGUCUUCCAAUAAGUGAUGCCAUAUUUGAAAAGAAUCUACAAUCGCAAGAAGCUCUUUAUUAUAAAUCUUAUAAUUGAUCUUUAUAUUUGAAAACUUUUUAGAAUAGAAUGCAAUUGGGUGGAGCUUUCUAUCCUUUUUAAUUUGUGAUAGUACAAAUUUUAAUGCAAAGUUAGAAGCAUUAGUCUUUAAAUAAAAGGUCUUCAUAAAAUCUAAAUGCAAUAAAAUUGGAGCUAUAAUAAAAGCUACCUUUAAAUCUUAAAAAGCCUUUAGUCCUUGAGGUCUCUAUUCCAAUUUAUCUUUAGAUGUCAAUCAAGUAAAAAGAUAGUAGCAAAUUAGAAAUAAUUCUUGAUAAAUAUUUGAUAAAAAUUAGCAAAUUUAUAGAAAUAUUAUAUAUUACGUAUUGUCUUUAGAGUUGCUUAUUCUAUUAUAGCUUAAACUUUCUUUGAGUCCAUCAACAGGCCUUCAUUGGAUAUAACAUAUCCAAGAAAUUUUACUUUUGAUUGAUAGAAUAUAUAUUUUUUUAAUUUGACAUAUAAUCUUACAUCUCAUAACUUUUAUAAGAUUAAUUUCAUUUAUUCUUUAUGUUCAUAAAUCUUGAAGUAGAUCAAGAUAUCAUUAAGAUAAUAGAUAAUAAACUUGUCCAAAAAUUCUUUAAAAAUAUCAUUUAUCAAAUGUUGGAAUAUAGCUAGAGCAUUUUUUAAACUAAAAGGCAUGACAUUAUAUUCAAAAUAUACAUAUUUUGUCCAAAAAGUUAUCUUUUAUUCACCAUUUUUUUAAUUCAUACCAAAUUAUAUGCUCUAUAAAAAUCUAUUUUAGUAUAGAUCUUAGCUUGACUAAAUUGCUUUAAAAGCCUUGAUAUUAAUAAUAAUAGAUAAUAAUUCUUUACCAUUAUUUUCUUGAAGUUGUAAUAAUCAAUACACAUUUAUAAAGAUCCAUCUUUUUUCUUUACAAAAAAUAUUUAUAUACUUGCUAGAGAUUUGGAAUGAUAAAUAAAGUUCUUUCUAAGAUUUUUAUUUAUAUAAUCCUUCAAUACCAAAAGCUCCUUCUAUGAUAGAUUGUAAAUUAGAACAAAUGGUGGUUGAUUUCCUUCUUGAAGAUCAAUGGCACAAUCAUAUGAUCAAUAUUUCAGCAAUAUGUUAAUAUAUAUAUAUAUUUUUUUCAAAGACAUCUUGAAAUUCUUUAUAUUACUCUAGAAUAGCUACUAACAAGCUUGCUUCUUUAUGAACUAGAGUUGCAUAAAUAACUAAUGGCAUUUUUUUUAAGCUGCCUUCUUAAAAGUCCUUGCUCCAAAAGGACUUUGUUCUUGAUGAAUUCUUGAUAGAUUUUAUCCAAAGAUAUUUUAUAAGAAAUUUAAUCUUAUGAAAUCUCUAAUCUAUAAAUAGAUUCCAUUUUUUUUAUUAUAAAAGUCCUAAAAUAAUAGAAUUAAAUAGAAUUUUAAUAUUAUUGAAUAUUAUUUUGCUACUAUAGCUUUUAAAUGAUAUUUCUAAUAGUAUGGUUUUAUGAAUAACAUUACUUAAAGGUAUAGGUCGACCAUCUAUUACUUCUAUAUGUAUAAUUUUUGACUUUUAUACUAGAAGAAUUUUAUAAAGAUUAAAAAACUCUUCAUCUAAAAAAAAAAAAAAAAAAAAAAAAAAAUACUCUUAAAUCUAGUAAGGUAUUUGUUUGAAGCUUUUGUGCCAUUACCUUCUUGGAUGUAGAAGCUUGAUAAAGUGGUUGCAAUCUAUUUCAAGUCUUAUAUUACCAUAAAAUCUUACAAUUUUUUUUUCAAUUUUAGCAGUUCUACGAGCUAAAGCAUUCAAUGUGUUCAUAAUAAUAUCUAACUUGGACUUGAGAGACUCAACCAUACUAACAUCUUUACUUCCAGUUAGCUUGAAAGAAAGAAGAGAAUAUAUAUAUAUAUCUAUAUAUAUAUAUAUAUAUAUAUCAGUUUAGAAGAAAAUACUUUGUAACUUCUAAAGCGCUUUAAUAAUUUAAAAAAGAGGAAUAAUUCACUCUUUAUCAAGAAAGAUCAAGCUUUAGUAUUGAUAAGAGAGUAAUUUUAGCAAAUUUAUCUUUAAAUUGUAUAAUGACUAGUACUAUCAACCAUGAUAUUCUAGUGGGUUAACAAAUCCUUUAUCCAUUUGAUUUUGGCCAAGAUAAUUGAAGUAAAUAAGCAUAGAUUUGAUAGAUAUGGUUUAUUCAUGAUAAAAGAAAAAAAAUUAUUUCAAUCACAUUUGCAAUAACUACUAUGAUAAUGUCAGUAAAAACCUUAUUUAAUUAUAGUGCAUUGGUAUUUGACUCACCUUGUAAAGCGAUUCUAUUAGAAGAGACAUUUGCUUUUAUAUUUUAUUUUGUAGAAUCAACUAAUCUCCCCUUUUUAGAAGUUCAUACAAAAUACUAGAAGGAUCUAUAUCCUCCUUGGAAAACAUGUAUAAAACUUUUUUUCCAAUGUGAAGAAAUUGUAUCUCCUUUGAAUAUAUUGAAAAUAUUAAAAUCUUUUUUUAUCUUUUUGUGCUCAAAUUAUUCAUUAGCAUCUACCAAAUCAAGGUAUUAUCUUUCUGGAGCUCUUUAUAAACAUUGAUACAUGAUUGAUAAUAGUAUUAGAGGCUAGGCUUACUAUUAGAUGGUACAUUCACAUGAAUACUAGAAUUGCUCUUAAUAGAGCAACUUGACAUUAUUUAUAAAUUUUAUUGAUUAUAUAUUGUAAAUAGUUAUAAUCUCUUGUCAUUCUUAAUUAUUUUAGUAAUUUUUUUAAUAAUAUUACUCUCAUUAGUGAUGAGGAUUUCAAGAGAUUAGACAACAUAGACUUAUUAAUUAUUAGAUGGUAUUAUCAAAGUCAUUUAUAUGUUGGAGAAAAUCAAAGAUAAGAUGAUGUUUGAUCCAAUUUAUUUAUAAAUUUUAUGUGACUUACAAAACGAUCAUUUAUACAUCAAAUUAUACUACUUAGGUAUAUUUUUGAAAAUAUACUAUUAUUAAGUGAUAUUUAAAUAUAAGUAUUGAAGUCUUAUCAAUAUAUUAACUAACUCAUUGGUCUUUUAAUUUUUGUAGCUGUUGUGGCUUUUGGCUCUUAAGUCCAUCGACCUUAUUUGAUUUGAACCAACCUGAUAAUAUUUCAUGUAAUUAUAAAAGUGUUAAGGAUGCCACAUUGAUAAAAUCUUGCAUGAUAAUCAAAUUUUUUUGAUUGUCACUAAGGAUAAUGAACCUUUGCUUGUUAUAGUUAAUAGGAUGGAAGUACCUCAUGAGACCUUUUCUACAUUUAAAAUAUUUCCAAUAUUAUUUACAUUUUGAAUAUGUUGUCAUGAUGUAAUACGACUAUAUAGUAAAAUUAUAAUCAAAAUUGAAUUUCUAAUUAAUAUCUAAUUAUCUUAGUUCAAUUAUAAUUUGACGUAUCUAAAAAUAACUUUUAUAAAAGCCUCUUAGAUUAUUUUCUUAUCUUAAUAGUUAGUAGGUUGAAGGUUAGUUAGUAAUUUUACCAUCUAGGUUGUAGAGACGCUUCUACUAUCUUAAAAAGACCAUAAAUUGAUAAAAUCAGGAUAGAAGAGGUAAAUGGUUGGUAUGGUUGAUACUAAGAUCAAGUUAAGGGUACAAUUGGACUAAAAAUCCUUGGGAUAAGUUAAAUUGAUGCUUGGGGGUCGACGAUUUGUGAGACAAGGUCGAAAUCAGACCUCUAGUCAAUAAAACGAUCGCCGAGGGUAAGUAAGGGAUUCAUUUGUAGAUUGAAAGAUAGGAUUUGAGAGCUAGCUUGAAGUUCUUUCCAAUGGCAUAAGGAUUUUUUUUGAAGGUUUUUGAAGACUUAGCAAUUAUUAUUCGAAGUUAGGAUUUGUAUCAGUGAUUUGGAUUUUAUAUAAUAUAAUUAGAACUAGCAAUUUUGGCUAGUUCAUGCAAUUGAUGUAACAUCUAUAGUUGAAAAUUUGUUAUUGUUUGGAUUAUUAGGUGUGCUAAAUGUAUACAAAAUUUUGUCACAAUCUAACGGCAUGGUUUAGAAAUAUCUAGUUUUUAGUACAAGAGGGUUCAAAAGGUGGCAGUUUGAGGUUGGGUAAGGUUUCUAUGAUAUUUGAAUAUCUAUUUGUCGGAUUAAGGUGAAAAUUGGCAUGGUAUUGAAGGACUUAAAGAUCAAGCUACACACCAAUUUUGAGACAAAUGUAAUAGUUAGAAAGAAAGAAAUCACUACUAGGAUUUCUCCUUCACUUUUCAAGUUGGCGGCUGAGAGAUAUUAGUACAGUUUUUGGAGGUUUUUUCACAAUCUAUAAGUUGGAUUGGGCUAAAACUUUUCGAGCAUAAAGAAGACUUACAUUGACAAUUGCAUGCAAAAUUCCACAUCAAGUGGACGGUCAGAUUGGAUGUUAUAGCUUGUUAAAGCUUUUUGAUUAGGAUUGGGGCUUAUAAGAAAAAUCUAAAUUACUUAAAUAUGAAAGUAACAAGGUAAUUGGGAUUUAUGUAUGGUUAAGACUACUAAGAAGAGUGAUUUUAGCACUUUUGAAUUAAAAUUCAGAUUACAUUCUUCUCUUAUGGACAAAAUCUAUUAGGGUUUCUUGGCUACUUCUGAAAUACAAUCUCACCUUCCAUAGCUAGGUAUUGAGUGCAUUCCUGAGCAAGAUAACACGUAAUACAACAAUGUAGACAUGGCAUGGUUUGAGAUGUCAAUUCAUAAAUCUACGAGAAACCUAAUGCCAAUGAAAAGGAACAUAUCAUAGGUUUUUUAACAGACACCACAAUUACUUAUAAUUUCCUUAAAGAACAACAUUAUUUUUCAAGGCCAAGGUAUAGGCCUCAACAUUUUAAUAUGAUUUUUUAGCAUAUAUUUUAUUAUUUGAAAGUAUUUUCAUAACCAAGUUAGUACAAUGAUGUCAAAGAAUAAUAGUUAUAAGGUAAUAAAUUUUGAACUUACUAAGAUUGAAGAAACUAAGUCAUUUUUUUGCUUACAGAGGCAUACAAUAGAUGAGCUAUAAGUUCAACAUGUCUUUGUAAUUUUAGCUAAAGACUUCAAAAAAAUAAAAAUUCAAGAAAUUUUUUCAUGGAAUUUUUAUUUUGAAGAUUCUCUAUAUUCUACCAAUAUUUCUAUUUCAUACAAAUAUUGUGGUAAUGAAGCCCUUUAUUUGACUAGAAGUAAGGAUGUUGAUGGUAUAGGAGUUGUUUUUUCAACAUAUUAGUACUUAAAGAUUCUGCCAACAUGCAGUGGUGCUCUAUUGGUGAAGAAGUAGAUUAAAAAGUUUAAACAUUGGCCAAUGUAAUUUAAGCCACAUCUUAUUAAUGCCAAAGCAUAAAAUAUAUAGGCUUUUAUCUACUUGUAUUAUAAUUGUUUUGUCUUUAAUCUUAAGAUCUUGAAUUUUUUAAAAGAAAAUCUAUUCACAUUCAAUAGAAAGAUGAUCAUUCAAUCUUCCAACGAUCUUAUUAGUUUAGUACCUUAAAAAAAAUUGGUAUCCAAGCUUGUUGUGAAGAGUUAUCAGCUAUAAGUUUGAUUGAGCUUUCCAAUGGUGAGUACGUUUGUGCCACAGUCAUGCCUUCGAAGAAAGAUGUAUUUGGCAAUUGGAUAGAGAAAUAGAUGUGUGGAUACUACCAUAUAAUUAAUUAUUAGACUAAUUUUGACCAAUAUCCAAUAUCAAUGCCAAAAGAAUUAUUUGAUGCAUUAGGAUUCUCUUAAGUAUUCAGCACUUUGCAUUUAAGAUCUUGUUAUCACCAAUUACUACUUUUUGUUAAAAAUUGGGUAAAGAUAACAUUUUAGGAAGUUAAUCAAGAUGACAAAGAAUAAUUCUAUUACUCGAACUUUUUCUAUUUGAUCAUAAUAAUAUACCAAUUAAAAUUUGACAAAUAAUAGACUAAGUUUUAUCUAGCUUGAUAUUUGUUAGAUGCUAUAAUAAUGAAUUAUUAUUUUAAGUUAUAUCCUAUAAAAUCAUCUAAAGUAUUUAAAAUUAGUAAAAUAUGAUUAGACUAUUUCAAAAAUCUAAGUUCCUUGAAAUCUAUAACAAUAUAAAGCUUCAUCACAAAAUAGGACAAAAAAAACCAAAAAAAAAAUAAAACAAAACUAAAAAAAAAUAAGACAUGAAAAAAAAAAUUGAGUAAACAAAACUAAAAUAGAAGAAAUAUAAACACAAAGAUGCAAAAUCAAAUUUUACCAAAAAAAAGAUCCAAAGCCAUACCUAACUAGAUGCCCCAAAAGACCUUAGCAAGUCCUAUUUAAAUCUUGUCUUAUUAUCCUAUACUUUCUCUUUAUACUCUUCACUUCAUUUAGAGGUGCAAAGAAUCAUCUUGUAUCCCCUAUCUUUAAAAAAGAUUGUCCUUGAAAAAUUCAAUGCAAUACAAGAUUGGUGCAAAAAUAAAUAUUGACUUAAAGGCUUCAAAAAAUGCUCUAGUUUUUUUGCUCUAAUUAAUUUUUUCUUUGCAUGUAAGAUGUGUAAGAAGAACUGCAACUUGAGAAAAAUUCCUGAUGAAGAUUUGAUAAUAAUUGGCAAAGCCCAAAAAGCAUUGCACAUCUUUUAUUAUUCUUAAAUUCUUCCAAUCUAUAAUAGUUUGAAUCUUCUUCAGAUCCAUCAUAAGUCCUUCAUUAAAAAAUAAUAUAUCCUAAGAAGUCAAUUUGAAUAAUAUGGAAUACAUACUUUUUCAACUUGGCAUACAAUCUCGCAACUCCAAGUUUUUGUAAUAAACAAUAAACACGAAUUUCAUGCUCUUUUGUAUUCUUACAAUAGAUUAAAAUAUUGUUUAAAUAAAAAACAACAAAAUCAUCUAAAAAUUCACAAAAAAAAUCAUUCAUAAGAUGUUGAAAAGUACCUAGUGCAUUUGUGAGUCUAAAAGGCAUGAUAUUAUAUUCAAAGUGCCAUACCUUAUUUAAAAUGUAGUCUACUAUUCAUCUCUUUUUUUAAUAAGAAUCAAAUUAUAUGCCAUCGUAUUGUAAUUUUUUAUAAUAUGUAAAAAUUAGUUUAAACAUAUUUUAUAUUCAUAAGUCUUGAUGUGUGUUAGAAUGGUCAAUAAAUUAAUUCAAAGAAAAUAGAUACAAAAAACUUUAUUUUGAAUUUUAUCUAUUUUAUUAUAAUAUUUAAAUUAUAUAAGAUUUAAAUAUUUAGUAUAGAGCUUUAAGAGAAGGUAGAAGCCUAAGGAUGAAAAUCUAAACUACUAAGAGGCUUAUGAGGAGGAAUGAAAUCAAUUCAUGGUCGGAUGAAGACAAAAGGUAAAGAUCUUUAUCCCUAUUGGUCAAAGGCCAUACCUAAUGGGCAUUUACUAGGCUGUCUACGACCAUAACAAGAGUUUCGACAACUUCAAAAGGAGAAUUUGAAAAUCAAAAGAAAGAAUUGUAAGGUUUAGGAUUUGAACUACAAUUUGUGUGCAAAUUUUAGAGGAUUUGGAGUUAGGGUGAUGAAAUUAUAGCCAUUUGAAGUUAAGGUGUCUUUUUAAGAUAUACUAUUACUAUUUUGAGAAUAUGAUGAGUUUUAUGAUAGAUUUUGAAGAUUAAAAGGUCUAGUUGUAAAAAUAAUUUUAAGAUCUAUAUCUUUUAUGAAAGAAUUUUUACAUUUGGAAUUUUUAUGAAGAAGUUAUAAAGCGUUGAAAACAACACAAGUAAUUUAGAGGUAGUAAGUGAAUUGUUUUGUUGAUAGUCAUGGUUGAAGCCAUGUCUUGAGUUCUUGGAUGAAUUUUUGGCUAAAAAUUUCUAAAAAUAUAUAAUAUUGAAUUAAAAAGAUAUAUAUUAAAACUUUAUGGUAUUUAAAUAUUUAGUUUGUGAGAUAUGAAGAAAUUUACACACUGGUAUAUGUAAGCAAGGAUUUGAAGCUAUUGUUAGAGUUUUGGCGAUGUUUCAAGAUCUGUAAUGAAUUUAUGGUUGAAAUUUGUUGCAAUAGUUGUUAAAAAUAUAUUAGUAUUUUAUGUAAAAUUUGGAUUUGUUUGGAUGAUCCAAUCAUGAGAUAUGAGCUAUUGAAGUUUAAGAAGAAUUUACUUUAAGGAUAUACAAGUUUUUUAUAACAUUUUUAUCACUUUUUUGGUGAUCUUUUGUACUUAAGGCUUAUGUAUUGAUGUAAUUGCGCCUAUAGGGAUAAUUUUAUAUAUAGACUUGGUAUUUUUUUUUAUUUAGAGGCUUGAUUGAGCAUUUAAUGAUAGGUAGAAUCCCAACGCUUUUUUAAGACAAAUUCUCUCUAUCACGAUAAUGUUCUUUUUAGUUCUAUUUUUGUAUAGAUCUUAGCUUAAUUUAGUUGAUUAUGAAUUUUAGAUAUAAAAAAUAAAUGAUACCUAUUCUUGAUGGUUAUCUUAUUAAGUCCUCAAUGAUUUAUGUACAUUUGGAAUGAUCUAUCUUUUUUCUUUACUAAUAAGAUAUCGACUCUUGAAGGAGAUUUUGAAUGGUGUAUAAAAUUCUUGGCCAAGUUCUUAUCGAUGUACUUCUUGAGUUUAGCUAACUUAUUUUGUGACAAACUAUAGAUUGGACCAAAUGGUGGUUGACUUCCUUCUUUAAGGUCAAUUGAGCAAUCAUAUGGACAAUGCUUCAGAAAAAUAUCUACAUUUUUGUUUUCAAAAAUAUCUUUAAAAUCUUGAUAUCAAAUUAGAAUAUCACUUGAAGUCUUUCCAUUAUUAAAAAUAGAUGUGAAAUAAAUAAAUAAAAAGGUGAUUCUUCUUUUGCAGCAUGCUAAAGAGCUUUUGCCCCUACAAGUACAAGUUUGGUUACACUAGAGUCAUGGCUUUCUACAAAACUCUUAAUAAUGCUUUAGAAAAAUUCAAGUUUAUAAAAAAUCUAAUCUUUCAGAGGAUUAUAUUUUUUUAGCCACAAUAAAUCUAAAAUAAUUAUAUUAGAAAGAGACUUAAUUAUAUUAAAAAUUAUACAACUAUUAUGACUAUUUAUUGCUGUAUCUAUAAGAAGUGUUUCAUGAAUAAUAUUUCUAAAAGAUAAUGGAUAUCCAUCUAUGACUUCUACAUAUACGGAUCUAGUUUUUUGUACUAAUAGUAUUCUAUGGCUUUGAAAAAACUCUUUAUUUAAAAAAUAAGUUGAGGCUCCUAAAUCUAUCAAGGUAGAGUCUUUGUGAUUAUUAGGUCUUAAAUGCACAUCUAUUGAAAAACAAGGAGAGGAUUUUGAAGAGAAGAUAAGACCUUCAUUUAUACAAGAUUCGAACUGCAUAGUUCCUAUUGUAGGUGGAAAAAUUCAUUUUUUGAAAUUUUUUCCUCUUUGACAAUCAUACUCCUUAUUUUAUAGUUAUGUCAUUUCUUUGAAUAAUAUUGAGCAGUGUACUUAGCUUUUCCACAAUAUAAAUACAAUCUUUUUUGACAACAAUGAAUCUUUUUUUAUUCAGUAAGAGGUUUAAAAUGUACCACAUCAAUUUGCAUGUCUUCUACUUCUAAAUGUUUAGAUUGAAAGAUCAUCAGUAUUAUCAUUAGAUUAGAAUAAUGUAGAGGUUUUUCUACACGAUUCUCAAAUGAAGGUCAUUGUCAUACUUCACAGCAAAGUUAAUUACUUAACUUAAUGUUUGAAGAUCAUGUAAUUUGAGCAUUAAUUUCUUUAUUUCAUAUUAUUAUCCAUAAAGAAAUUGGCUAAUAAGAUUAGUAUCAGCUUAUUUGACAUCAAUCGCUAGUUGUCAAAAUUGUGAAACAUAUGAUAUCAUUGAUCAAUUACUUUAUUUCAAGAUACAAAACUUAUUAGUUGUAAUACAAAUUACAUCAAUUUUUCUAUUCAUAGAUCAAAAUUCCCUCAAAAAGGCCUCCAAAUUAUCCAAUAUUAGAUCUCAUCAUUCAAAAAAAGAUAAAAACCAUGAUAAUGCUUGACCUAAAAGAAGUAUACCAAUGAAUUUAACUUGUGAUCUUGUCAUUGGAUAGCUUUGGAGUUGAAGUUCAAUCACAAGCUAUACUUGAUUGAUAAAUCCUUGAAAUUUGGAUCUUGUACCAUCAAACUUCUUGUAUAAGGCAACUUUGGAUUGUCUAAUACUAGAAAGGUGUUCUAUUAUAGGAGAAAGAAUGUGAUUUGAUAAAAAUAUUGAAGCAGCUCCAAUCAUGUUUGUAUCUUCAUUUCUUGCUAUUUUUAUUGCUUCUAGUGGUGAUAAACUUAGUUGAUGCAUUGCAAGCAUCAAUUCUUUCAAUUGCUCUGGCAUUUAAGCCAUUGCUUUCUUCAUUUUAAGAAGAUUUGCUAUGAUAAUAUUUAAAAACAAAAAUCUAAUAUUGCUCAAGAUAAACAAAAGAAAGAACUUGAGAACAAAGAAAAUACUAAGAAUAAUAUUAGUUUAGAAGAGGAUAAUUUACAACUUCUAAUAUAUUUUUGUCUUAUUAAGAAAAAGAGGUAAUCCACUCUUAAUCAUGAAAAAACAAUAUUAUAAGUGUAAUCUUAUCAAUCUGUCAAAAACAAGAACUUGAUGAAAACAAAUAAAAAAAUGAGACUCUUUCAAAGAAAUAAAAAUAGAAAAGUAUACAUAUUAAAAAAAAAUAGAAAAAUAUACAUAUUAAAAAAAAUAGAAUGGCUAUUGCUAAAAGAUAAGAAAACUAAAAACUCUUGAAUCUUGAUUAGAAGCAAGAAAAGAAUUGAGAAGAGCAAAGAAGGCUUCAUUCUUGCCUCUAUAUAUAUUAUCUACUAAAGAUUUAUGUGGCGGUGUUCUAUAGGACCUCCAAAAACAUAUUGACUUUACAUGACAUGUAUCUUGACUUGCAAGGCAAGUUUUCUAUAUGGCCGCCACAUAAUUAGCUUUUUCUUUAAGCUAUCAAUAUAUGUGACACAUGGAUAGCUUGUUGGCCAAGUUUCUAACCUAUUAAUCAACUACAAACAUAUGUAAAGUCAAAACAACAUCUAAAAAGCUUCUAGGAAGCUUCUUUAGAAGAUAUUAUGAAAUUAAUCUACUUUUACCUAAUUCUACAUAUUCAUAUUAUUUAGAUAACAAUUACAAUAGAUAUAUAUAUCUAUGACAUUCUAUCAAGCCACACACAAAACAACAAAUUAUUCUUCUAACAAAAUCUUGUUAUUUGAUGAUUAAUCCUAUUUCUUUUUAUGUUAGAGAGAGUGGAAGAAAAUAUUCCUUAUUGAAGUUUGUAGAAGAUUGCAAGAUCUUUCUAGACAUUGCUAAUUUCUUGAUUCUUGUCCAAUUCUUUAUCUAAAUUUUGAAUAAGAACUAUGGUUGUAACACAUGAUACUAAAGUCAAGUAUGUGGCUACAAGCCAUCUAAAGAUUACAUCUCGAUCACAAUUUCCAUGCCACUGAGUUCCAAUUAAGUGUUCUUUUGAAGGACAUGAAUUAUAAGAAAGUCUAUUGGCAUCCAAAUUGGUAAUACCUACUUGAUGCACAACUUCAAAGUCAUAUUUUUAAAGCAAUAAAGUCCAUCUUGCAAUUUUAGCAAUAAGCUUGUCUGACUCCAUAAGCUACUUCAAAAGUUAAUAAUUAAUUACUAAUAUAAAAUAUUGAUUAUACAAGGUAAAAAAUAAGCAAUAGUCUAAAUUCUUGUCAAAGCUUUUCUUUUAUAAAAUGAGUAAUUUGACUCUAAAUUGUUAUUACUUUUAUAAAAUGAGUAAUUUGACUUUAAAAUUUAAUAAUAUAUUUUCAUCCUAUAUCAUCUUUUCAUGUCAAGAUUACUUCUAAUCCUGUAGUAUUCCAAUCCAUGUAUAGUUAAAAAAAUUUAUUGACAUCUAGAUGUUGAAGCACUAGAAUUAAAUCCAACUUUUGCUUCAAAGUAUCAAAUGCAUGUUGUUGCUUAUGAUUUCAAGUCUAUAGUUGAGCUUUAUUCAUAUAAAUAAUUAAAGGCUUGGCAAUGAUGCUAAAGUCUUUAACAAAUCUUUGGUAGUAGUUUGCAAAGCCUAGAAAAGCUCAAAGUUAUGAAAUAUCACUUGGUAUUUGGAUUUUUUGCAAGGCAACUACCUUUACUUGGUAUAUGCUAAGACUUUUUGAGAUAGUCAUGUAAUUCAAAUAUAGUAAUCAUUUAUGGAAGAAUUUAUACUUUUCAUGAUACAAGUAUAAUUUUUAUUGUUGUAAUUUUUUAAAUACUAAUUAUAAUAAGAUAUAAAUAAGAUAAUUAUAUAGAUAAUUAAAACCAUAGAAGUUUUUAGAAUUAGGAUUAGGUUAGUGAACUGGUAGGAUCCAUUGUGGGGAAUUUUAGAAAGAAUUUAGGACAAUUAUCUAAGUAGGAUCUAUUAUCUAAGAACAUUUUAGAAAGUCCAAUAUGGUAGGAUAAGGUAUAAAUAGGAUUAACCAUGGCCUUUUGGGGCAUCUAGUCAAGUAUGGCUUCAGAUCCUUUCUCUUAGUAAAGUUGGUUCUACAUCUUUCUAUUCAAAUAUGUUCUAUUCUAUUUUUUUUUUUUUGCUCUAUUUUGUCUUUCAUGUCCUAUUAUAUUUAAUUUUAUUCAGUUUUGUUUUUAUUUGUUUUGUCUUAUUUUGUAAUAUAUUAUUAUGGAUUUGAAGGAUUUUGGAUUUUUGAGAUAAUAUAAUUAUGUUUCAUUGGUAUUAGAGUGAGUGUUAAACUAUUUACUUUUGGUAGUAUGUUAAUAGUCAUCAUUUAUUCCAAUAUCAAUUAUUGUGGCCAUAUUGAGUAUUGUGUUGACACUACCACUAGUUAUUCUUUAAAAGUCAAUCGAAAGAUGAAAAGAUAUUAUAAUAGUAGAGUCCAGUGGAGAAAUUAUAGUAUGAAAGAUAUGAAAGAGCAAUCCUAGAUGGAGGCUUAAUUACAAUACUUCUUAGGCCAAAAGCCUCAAGGUCAAGAGAGUUGACAUCUGCUAGGUUGAAAUUGAGUAAGUCUAAUACAUAUUCUAAGAUUUUAAGACAAGAAGAUGUAUGUUAAUGGCUUUUCAACAUGUAAUAAUACUUCAAAUUAUUUGAGGCAAAUACCACUGAAGGAAUUAUAUAUGUAGCGAGUUAUUUAAGAGAUGUGGCAGUUAUUUGGUGGUGACAUCAAGUUCAAAGUUAUAAAGCUCAAGGUGGAUUUUGUGUCUGGGAGGAGUUUGAGACCAAGUUUAGCAAUUAAUUUCGGCCCAUCAAUGUAGAGAAGAUAGCUCAUGAUCACUUGUCAAAUCUUACACAAGCUAGGUUGGUACAAGAUUAUGUCUUUAGAUUCAAGUCCUUAUGUCUCCAAAUUGAUAAUGUUUUAGAGGCAAAGAUGAUGGAUUGAUUCCUAUGAGGUUUGAAACGUGGAGUCUUGUGAGAAGUAGAGCUAAGGAAUCCACAAACAUUUGAAGAAGAAAUUUGGAUUAUAAAGAGGGUUGAUGCUAUAGAUUUCAGAAAUGGUGGAACACAACCUAUAGCUCAAAGUCCUAUAUACUUAUUAGCAAAAAUUAAAGAAAUCAAAGAAAGAAGUAUAUAUCUUGCAGAUGAUGAAGAAAACGUAUUGAGUGAGAUAUGUAAAAAAACCUUAAGAUUGACAGACACCUACAUCUUAAGAAUAAGAUUCAAGGUGACAAAGUUAAGGUAUGAUGUUAUCUUUAGUAUGUCAUAGCUAGAGAUGGAAAAUAAGCAAGUUGAUUGGAUAGCAAGGACAAUCUCUUUUAAAGAUAGAGCAUCCAAGAUGACUCUUUGCACCUCCACAUGAAGUGAAGAGGAAUAAAAAUUUACAAUGAAAGACAUAUUUGGUUAGACGGUCUUUAUAAAAAAACUACUACAAUAUGAGCAUUCAAUAUAGAUAUUGGUUUGAAAUUUUGCAUCAAUGGUAGAAAAGAGAGUUGAAGGGAUAGAUUGGAUUGAGCAAUUUAUACAAGAAUAUCAUGAUGUGUUUCUAACUGACCUACCUAAUAGUGUGUCUUCUGAUCAAGGUGCCUCCUUUCAAAUAGAACUAUUGCUUAGAGCCAAAUGAGCAAGUCGACCAAUUUAUUACCUAACAUUAAAAGGACUUCAAAAUCUACAGAAGAGAUUGGAUGAACUCUUAUAGAAAGGCCUCAUUCAAGAAAGCACAUUAUCGUAGGAAACACAUGUAGUCUUUGCACCUAAGAUAUAUGGUGGACUUUGUCUUUUCAUUGACUAUAGACGCCUCAAUAAGCACAUUGUUAAAAAUAUGUUUCCACUUUCAUGCGUGGAUAAACUUCUUGUCCAAUUUUGAAGUGUGAUAAAUUUUAGUAAAUUAGAUCUUUGGAGUAGCUAAUGGCAAAUACCUAUUCGAAGAAUAGAUGUGGAAAAGAUGAUAUUUUGUACAUGCUAUGAACAUUUUGAAUGGUUGAUUUUAUGCUUUGGCCUCACUAAUACUCUAGCCUCUUUUAAGGAUGAGAUGAACAAAUUAUUUCAGGACCUUUUAGAUAAGUAUAUAGUCAUCUUCAUUGAUGAUAUUCUUGAAUAUAGUAAAACUUCUAAAAAGCAUGAGCAACAUUUACGAGAAGUAUUACACUGGCUAUACUAUAAUUGCUUCUAUUGCAAGCAAUCAAAAUAUAAACUUUGGAAGUUAGAAGUCACAUUUUUGAAGCAUGUGAUGUUCUUUGAAGGUAUGCACAUUGACAUGAAAGACAAAAUUGUGAAAACAAAAAAAGAGUACAAUAGAUCUAAACACAAAGAUGUACAACCAUAUUUUACUAAGAGAAGGUGCCAAAGCUAUACUUGACAAGGAACUCCAAAAGACCUUGAUUAAUUCUAUUUAUAUCUUAUCCUAUUAUCCUAGACUUUCUCUUCAUCUUCUUCACUUCAUGUGGAGGUACAAAGAGUCAUCUUGCAUGCUCUAUCUUUAAAAGAGAUUGUCCUUACUAUCCAAUCAACUUACUUAUUUUCCAUCUCUAGCUAUGGCAUAUCAAAGAUAACAUCAUGCCUUAGCUUUGUCACCUUGAAUCUUACUCUUAAGACAUAAGUGUUUGUCAAUCUUAAGGUUUUUUUUACACAUUUCACUGAAUACGUUCUCUUGAUCAUCUGCAAGAUAUAUACUUCCUUCUUUGAUUUCUUUAGUUUUAAUUCUAAGUCAGUCAGCAACUUCAGUUGGGAUGCAAUUUUUUGUAGAGCCACAAUCUAUAGGCACUCGACAUGAUUGUCCUCUAAGUAUUCUUGUUAGAUAUACCAAUUGACACUUUUUAUAGUUAUCCAAGGCCAUGCCAUUUGUUUGUAAGAGACAGUAGCUAUCCUUAGUACUAGCCUUUGGUAUUUUUAUUGGGAAGUCCCGUUGUCAUGUUGAAACACGACUAUAUGGUGAAAGAUGAUGAUAUGGAUCUUAUUAUAGAAGAGCCAAGUUAAAAUGUGAUAAAAAUGUUAUAAAAAACUUAUAUAUCCUUGAAGUAAAUUCUUCUUAAACUUCAAUAGCUCAUAUCUCAUAUCUCAUGAUUGGAUCAUCCAAACAAAUCCAAAUUUUACAUAAAAUACUAAUAUAUUUUUAACAACUAUUGCAACAAAUUUCAACCAUAAAUUCAUUACAGAUCUUGAAACAUCGCCAAAACUCUAACAAUAGCUUCAAAUCCUUGCUUACAUAUACCAGUGUGUAAAUUUCUUCAUAUCUCACAAACUAAAUAUUUAAAUACCAUAAAGUUUUAAUAUAUAUCUUUUUAAUUCAAUAUUAUAUAUUUUUAGAAAUUUUUAGCCAAAAAUUCAUCCAAGAACUCAAGACAUGGCUUCAACCAUGACUAUCAACAAAACAAUUCACUUACUACCUCUAAAUUACUUGUGUUGUUUUCAACGCUUUAUAACUUCUUCAUAAAAAUUCCAAAUGUAAAAAUUCUUUCAUAAAAGAUAUAGAUCUUAAAAUUAUUUUUACAACUAGACCUUUUAAUCUUCAAAAUCUAUCAUAAAACUCAUCAUAUUCUCAAAAUAGUAAUAGUAUAUCUUAAAAAGACACCUUAACUUCAAAUGGCUAUAAUUUCAUCACCCUAACUCCAAAUCCUCUAAAAUUUGCACACAAAUUGUAGUUCAAAUCCUAAACCUUACAAUUCUUUCUUUUGAUUUUCAAAUUCUCCUUUUGAAGUUGUCGAAACUCUUGUUAUGGUCGUAGACAGCCUAGUAAAUGCCCAUUAGGUAUGGCCUUUGACCAAUAGGGAUAAAGAUCUUUACCUUUUGUCUUCAUCCGACCAUGAAUUGAUUUCAUUCCUCCUCAUAAGCCUCUUAGUAGUUUAGAUUUUCAUCCUUAGGCUUCUACCUUCUCUUAAAGCUCUAUACUAAAUAUUUAAAUCUUAUAUAAUUUAAAUAUUAUAAUAAAAUAGAUAAAAUUCAAAAUAAAGUUUUUUGUAUCUAUUUUCUUUGAAUUAAUUUAUUGGCCAUUCUAACACACAUCAAGACUUAUGAAUAUAAAAUAUGUUUAAACUAAUUUUUACAUAUUAUAAAAAAUUACAAUACGAUGGCAUAUAAUUUGAUUCUUAUUAAAAAAAGAGAUGAAUAGUAGACUACAUUUUAAAUAAGGUAUGGCACUUUGAAUAUAAUAUCAUGCCUUUUAGACUCACAAAUGCACUAGGUACUUUUCAACAUCUUAUGAAUGAUUUUUUUUGUGAAUUUUUAGAUGAUUUUGUUGUUUUUUAUUUAAACAAUAUUUUAAUCUAUUGUAAGAAUACAAAAGAGCAUGAAAUUCGUGUUUAUUGUUUAUUACAAAAACUUGGAGUUGCGAGAUUGUAUGCCAAGUUGAAAAAGUAUGUAUUCCAUAUUAUUCAAAUUGACUUCUUAGGAUAUAUUAUUUUUUAAUGAAGGACUUAUGAUGGAUCUGAAGAAGAUUCAAACUAUUAUAGAUUGGAAGAAUUUAAGAAUAAUAAAAGAUGUGCAAUGCUUUUUGGGCUUUGCCAAUUAUUAUCAAAUCUUCAUCAGGAAUUUUUCUCAAGUUGCAGUUCUUCUUACACAUCUUACAUGCAAAGAAAAAAUUAAUUAGAGCAAAAAAACUAGAGCAUUUUUUGAAGCCUUUAAGUCAAUAUUUAUUUUUGCACCAAUCUUGUAUUGCAUUGAAUUUUUCAAGGACAAUCUUUUUUAAAGAUAGGGGAUACAAGAUGAUUCUUUGCACCUCUAAAUGAAGUGAAGAGUAUAAAGAGAAAGUAUAGGAUAAUAAGACAAGAUUUAAAUAGGACUUGCUAAGGUCUUUUGGGGCAUCUAGUUAGGUAUGGCUUUGGAUCUUUUUUUUGGUAAAAUUUGAUUUUGCAUCUUUGUGUUUAUAUUUCUUCUAUUUUAGUUUUGUUUACUCAAUUUUUUUUUUCAUGUCUUAUUUUUUUUUAGUUUUGUUUUAUUUUUUUUUUGGUUUUUUUUGUCCUAUUUUGUGAUGAAGCUUUAUAUUGUUAUAGAUUUCAAGGAACUUAGAUUUUUGAAAUAGUCUAAUCAUAUUUUACUAAUUUUAAAUACUUUAGAUGAUUUUAUAGGAUAUAAAUUAAAAUAAUAAUUCAUUAUUAUAGCAUCUAACAAAUAUCAAGCUAGAUAAAACUUAGUCUAUUAUUUGUCAAAUUUUAAUUGGUAUAUUAUUAUGAUCAAAUAGAAAAAGUUCGAGUAAUAGAAUUAUUCUUUGUCAUCUUGAUUAACUUCCUAAAAUGUUAUCUUUACCCAAUUUUUAACAAAAAGUAGUAAUUGGUGAUAACAAGAUCUUAAAUGCAAAGUGCUGAAUACUUAAGAGAAUCCUAAUGCAUCAAAUAAUUCUUUUGGCAUUGAUAUUGGAUAUUGGUCAAAAUUAGUCUAAUAAUUAAUUAUAUGGUAGUAUCCACACAUCUAUUUCUCUAUCCAAUUGCCAAAUACAUCUUUCUUCGAAGGCAUGACUGUGGCACAAACGUACUCACCAUUGGAAAGCUCAAUCAAACUUAUAGCUGAUAACUCUUCACAACAAGCUUGGAUACCAAUUUUUUUUAAGGUACUAAACUAAUAAGAUCGUUGGAAGAUUGAAUGAUCAUCUUUCUAUUGAAUGUGAAUAGAUUUUCUUUUAAAAAAUUCAAGAUCUUAAGAUUAAAGACAAAACAAUUAUAAUACAAGUAGAUAAAAGCCUAUAUAUUUUAUGCUUUGGCAUUAAUAAGAUGUGGCUUAAAUUACAUUGGCCAAUGUUUAAACUUUUUAAUCUACUUCUUCACCAAUAGAGCACCACUGCAUGUUGGCAGAAUCUUUAAGUACUAAUAUGUUGAAAAAACAACUCCUAUACCAUCAACAUCCUUACUUCUAGUCAAAUAAAGGGCUUCAUUACCACAAUAUUUGUAUGAAAUAGAAAUAUUGGUAGAAUAUAGAGAAUCUUCAAAAUAAAAAUUCCAUGAAAAAAUUUCUUGAAUUUUUAUUUUUUUGAAGUCUUUAGCUAAAAUUACAAAGACAUGUUGAACUUAUAGCUCAUCUAUUGUAUGCCUCUGUAAGCAAAAAAAUGACUUAGUUUCUUCAAUCUUAGUAAGUUCAAAAUUUAUUACCUUAUAACUAUUAUUCUUUGACAUCAUUGUACUAACUUGGUUAUGAAAAUACUUUCAAAUAAUAAAAUAUAUGCUAAAAAAUCAUAUUAAAAUGUUGAGGCCUAUACCUUGGCCUUGAAAAAUAAUGUUGUUCUUUAAGGAAAUUAUAAGUAAUUGUGGUGUCUGUUAAAAAACCUAUGAUAUGUUCCUUUUCAUUGGCAUUAGGUUUCUCGUAGAUUUAUGAAUUGACAUCUCAAACCAUGCCAUGUCUACAUUGUUGUAUUACGUGUUAUCUUGCUCAGGAAUGCACUCAAUACCUAGCUAUGGAAGGUGAGAUUGUAUUUCAGAAGUAGCCAAGAAACCCUAAUAGAUUUUGUCCAUAAGAGAAGAAUGUAAUCUGAAUUUUAAUUCAAAAGUGCUAAAAUCACUCUUCUUAGUAGUCUUAACCAUACAUAAAUCCCAAUUACCUUGUUACUUUCAUAUUUAAGUAAUUUAGAUUUUUCUUAUAAGCCCCAAUCCUAAUCAAAAAGCUUUAACAAGCUAUAACAUCCAAUCUGACCGUCCACUUGAUGUGGAAUUUUGCAUGCAAUUGUCAAUGUAAGUCUUCUUUAUGCUCGAAAAGUUUUAGCCCAAUCCAACUUAUAGAUUGUGAAAAAACCUCCAAAAACUGUACUAAUAUCUCUCAGCCGCCAACUUGAAAAGUGAAGGAGAAAUCCUAGUAGUGAUUUCUUUCUUUCUAACUAUUACAUUUGUCUCAAAAUUGGUGUGUAGCUUGAUCUUUAAGUCCUUCAAUACCAUGCCAAUUUUCACCUUAAUCCGACAAAUAGAUAUUCAAAUAUCAUAGAAACCUUACCCAACCUCAAACUGCCACCUUUUGAAACCCUCUUGUACUAAAAACUAGAUAUUUCUAAACCAUGCCGUUAGAUUGUGACAAAAUUUUGUAUACAUUUAGCACACCUAAUAAUCCAAACAAUAACAAAUUUUCAACUAUAGAUGUUACAUCAAUUGCAUGAACUAGCCAAAAUUGCUAGUUCUAAUUAUAUUAUAUAAAAUCCAAAUCACUGAUACAAAUCCUAACUUCGAAUAAUAAUUGCUAAGUCUUCAAAAACCUUCAAAAAAAAUCCUUAUGCCAUUGGAAAGAACUUCAAGCUAGCUCUCAAAUCCUAUCUUUCAAUCUACAAAUGAAUCCCUUACUUACCCUCGGCGAUCGUUUUAUUGACUAGAGGUCUGAUUUCGACCUUGUCUCACAAAUCGUCGACCCCCAAGCAUCAAUUUAACUUAUCCCAAGGAUUUUUAGUCCAAUUGUACCCUUAACUUGAUCUUAGUAUCAACCAUACCAACCAUUUACCUCUUCUAUCCUGAUUUUAUCAAUUUAUGGUCUUUUUAAGAUAGUAGAAGCGUCUCUACAACCUAGAUGGUAAAAUUACUAACUAACCUUCAACCUACUAACUAUUAAGAUAAGAAAAUAAUCUAAGAGGCUUUUAUAAAAGUUAUUUUUAGAUACGUCAAAUUAUAAUUGAACUAAGAUAAUUAGAUAUUAAUUAGAAAUUCAAUUUUGAUUAUAAUUUUACUAUAUAGUCGUAUUACAUCAUGACAACAUAUUCAAAAUGUAAAUAAUAUUGGAAAUAUUUUAAAUGUAGAAAAGGUCUCAUGAGGUACUUCCAUCCUAUUAACUAUAACAAGCAAAGGUUCAUUAUCCUUAGUGACAAUCAAAAAAAUUUGAUUAUCAUGCAAGAUUUUAUCAAUGUGGCAUCCUUAACACUUUUAUAAUUACAUGAAAUAUUAUCAGGUUGGUUCAAAUCAAAUAAGGUCGAUGGACUUAAGAGCCAAAAGCCACAACAGCUACAAAAAUUAAAAGACCAAUGAGUUAGUUAAUAUAUUGAUAAGACUUCAAUACUUAUAUUUAAAUAUCACUUAAUAAUAGUAUAUUUUCAAAAAUAUACCUAAGUAGUAUAAUUUGAUGUAUAAAUGAUCGUUUUGUAAGUCACAUAAAAUUUAUAAAUAAAUUGGAUCAAACAUCAUCUUAUCUUUGAUUUUCUCCAACAUAUAAAUGACUUUGAUAAUACCAUCUAAUAAUUAAUAAGUCUAUGUUGUCUAAUCUCUUGAAAUCCUCAUCACUAAUGAGAGUAAUAUUAUUAAAAAAAUUACUAAAAUAAUUAAGAAUGACAAGAGAUUAUAACUAUUUACAAUAUAUAAUCAAUAAAAUUUAUAAAUAAUGUCAAGUUGCUCUAUUAAGAGCAAUUCUAGUAUUCAUGUGAAUGUACCAUCUAAUAGUAAGCCUAGCCUCUAAUACUAUUAUCAAUCAUGUAUCAAUGUUUAUAAAGAGCUCCAGAAAGAUAAUACCUUGAUUUGGUAGAUGCUAAUGAAUAAUUUGAGCACAAAAAGAUAAAAAAAGAUUUUAAUAUUUUCAAUAUAUUCAAAGGAGAUACAAUUUCUUCACAUUGGAAAAAAAGUUUUAUACAUAUUUUCCAAGGAGGAUAUAGAUCCUUCUAGUAUUUUGUAUGAACUUCUAAAAAGGGGAGAUUAGUUGAUUCUACAAAAUAAAAUAUAAAAGCAAAUGUCUCUUCUAAUAGAAUCGCUUUACAAGGUGAGUCAAAUACCAAUGCACUAUAAUUAAAUAAGGUUUUUACUGACAUUAUCAUAGUAGUUAUUGCAAAUGUGAUUGAAAUAAUUUUUUUUCUUUUAUCAUGAAUAAACCAUAUCUAUCAAAUCUAUGCUUAUUUACUUCAAUUAUCUUGGCCAAAAUCAAAUGGAUAAAGGAUUUGUUAACCCACUAGAAUAUCAUGGUUGAUAGUACUAGUCAUUAUACAAUUUAAAGAUAAAUUUGCUAAAAUUACUCUCUUAUCAAUACUAAAGCUUGAUCUUUCUUGAUAAAGAGUGAAUUAUUCCUCUUUUUUAAAUUAUUAAAGCGCUUUAGAAGUUACAAAGUAUUUUCUUCUAAACUGAUAUAUAUAUAUAUAUAUAUAUAGAUAUAUAUAUAUAUUCUCUUCUUUCUUUCAAGCUAACUGGAAGUAAAGAUGUUAGUAUGGUUGAGUCUCUCAAGUCCAAGUUAGAUAUUAUUAUGAACACAUUGAAUGCUUUAGCUCGUAGAACUGCUAAAAUUGAAAAAAAAAUUGUAAGAUUUUAUGGUAAUAUAAGACUUGAAAUAGAUUGCAACCACUUUAUCAAGCUUCUACAUCCAAGAAGGUAAUGGCACAAAAGCUUCAAACAAAUACCUUACUAGAUUUAAGAGUAUUUUUUUUUUUUUUUUUUUUUUUUUUUAGAUGAAGAGUUUUUUAAUCUUUAUAAAAUUCUUCUAGUAUAAAAGUCAAAAAUUAUACAUAUAGAAGUAAUAGAUGGUCGACCUAUACCUUUAAGUAAUGUUAUUCAUAAAACCAUACUAUUAGAAAUAUCAUUUAAAAGCUAUAGUAGCAAAAUAAUAUUCAAUAAUAUUAAAAUUCUAUUUAAUUCUAUUAUUUUAGGACUUUUAUAAUAAAAAAAAUGGAAUCUAUUUAUAGAUUAGAGAUUUCAUAAGAUUAAAUUUCUUAUAAAAUAUCUUUGGAUAAAAUCUAUCAAGAAUUCAUCAAGAACAAAGUCCUUUUGGAGCAAGGACUUUUAAGAAGGCAGCUUAAAAAAAAUGCCAUUAGUUAUUUAUGCAACUCUAGUUCAUAAAGAAGCAAGCUUGUUAGUAGCUAUUCUAGAGUAAUAUAAAGAAUUUCAAGAUGUCUUUGAAAAAAAUAUAUAUAUAUAUUAACAUAUUGCUGAAAUAUUGAUCAUAUGAUUGUGCCAUUGAUCUUCAAGAAGGAAAUCAACCACCAUUUGUUCUAAUUUACAAUCUAUCAUAGAAGGAGCUUUUGGUAUUGAAGGAUUAUAUAAAUAAAAAUCUUAGAAAGAACUUUAUUUAUCAUUCCAAAUCUCUAGCAAGUAUAUAAAUAUUUUUUGUAAAGAAAAAAGAUGGAUCUUUAUAAAUGUGUAUUGAUUAUUACAACUUCAAGAAAAUAAUGGUAAAGAAUUAUUAUCUAUUAUUAUUAAUAUCAAGGCUUUUAAAGCAAUUUAGUCAAGCUAAGAUCUAUACUAAAAUAGAUUUUUAUAGAGCAUAUAAUUUGGUAUGAAUUAAAAAAAUGGUGAAUAAAAGAUAACUUUUUGGACAAAAUAUGUAUAUUUUGAAUAUAAUGUCAUGCCUUUUAGUUUAAAAAAUGCUCUAGCUAUAUUCCAACAUUUGAUAAAUGAUAUUUUUAAAGAAUUUUUGGACAAGUUUAUUAUCUAUUAUCUUAAUGAUAUCUUGAUCUACUUCAAGAUUUAUGAACAUAAAGAAUAAAUGAAAUUAAUCUUAUAAAAGUUAUGAGAUGUAAGAUUAUAUGUCAAAUUAAAAAAAUAUAUAUUCUAUCAAUCAAAAGUAAAAUUUCUUGGAUAUGUUAUAUCCAAUGAAGGCCUGUUGAUGGACUCAAAGAAAGUUUAAGCUAUAAUAGAAUAAGCAACUCUAAAGACAAUACGUAAUAUAUAAUAUUUCUAUAAAUUUGCUAAUUUUUAUCAAAUAUUUAUCAAGAAUUAUUUCUAAUUUGCUACUAUCUUUUUACUUGAUUGACAUCUAAAGAUAAAUUGGAAUAGAGACCUCAAGGACUAAAGGCUUUUUAAGAUUUAAAGGUAGCUUUUAUUAUAGCUCCAAUUUUAUUGCAUUUAGAUUUUAUGAAGACCUUUUAUUUAAAGACUAAUGCUUCUAACUUUGCAUUAAAAUUUGUACUAUCACAAAUUAAAAAGGAUAGAAAGCUCCACCCAAUUGCAUUCUAUUCUAAAAAGUUUUCAAAUAUAAAGAUCAAUUAUAAGAUUUAUAAUAAAGAGCUUCUUGCGAUUGUAGAUUCUUUUCAAAUAUGGCAUCACUUAUUGGAAGACACUAUACAUCCUAUGAUUAUAUAUACAAAUCACAAAAAAUUAUAGUAUUUUAUAUUAACUUAAGUUUUGAAUUGUUGCUAAAUUUAUUGAAUUAUGUUAUUAUAUUAUUUUAAUAUUUUGAUUACAUAUUAACUAAGUAAAUAACAAAGACUAUUACAUGAUUUAUUAAGAAGAUCAUAUCUUACUUGAAAGAUCUAAAAAGUAGCAUUUGAUCAAUAAUAUAUUAUUCUCUUGAAGUAAAAAGAAUUUUGUCUUUGUGCUACUUCCAUGAUUAUACUUAUUGAUUUAAAUUUUUUUAAAUAAAUUUGUACAACAUCAACUAAUAACACUUUAGUUCAUAAUAUCAAGUAGUGCUUUGACAACAAUAAGUUCAAAUUUAUGGAAGAUCUUUUAUAUUUUGAAGAUCAUUUAUAUAUUCCAUACAAAUUCAUGUAACUUCAUAUUUUUCAAUCUUGUUAUGGUUUUCUAGCUGUAAGACAUAUUGGAUUUAAGAAAACAUUGGAGCUUAUUUCUCAAGAUUUCUAAUGGCUUCAAAUGUAGAAGAUUCUAAAAGACUUUAUCUUCUCAUGUGAUAUCUAUUCAAAAUCUAAGAAUUCCCGAUAUUAUUCCUGUAGACUUCUAUAACUACUAUCAAUUUUAAAUCAACCAUGGUCUUUUUUAUCAUUAGAUUUCAUCACUACUCUACCACCAUCGACUACAUUUGAUGCAAUCUAUAUUUUUGUGGAUCAACUUACAUAGAUGUUACAUUUUGUCUCAUAUAAAAAGGUAAUUUUUAGAGAAAAAAUGGUAAGGCUCUUUUUUAAUAAUGUAUAUUGAUAUUAUAGCCUACCUGAUAAUAUCGUUUUUGAUUGAGGACCUUAAUUUAUAUCAAAGUUUUGAAAAUAUUUUUUUGAGAUAUUGAAGGUGGAUAUUUAACUUUUUUCUACCUUCCAGUCUUAAAUCAAUGAUCAAACAGAAUAAGUCAAUUAAGUUUUGAAUUAGUAUUUAUGAUGUACCAUAAUCUAUCAAUAAGAUGAUUGAAUUUUGAAUUUAUCUUUAGUGGAGUUUGUUUAUAAUAAUAUUCUUUAUACUUUAACUUAAUAAACAUCAUUUUAUACUAAUUAUGAUUACUAUCCAAAGCUUAAUUUAUUAGAUACAUCAAAAGAUGAAAAUCUAGUAAUAAUUGUCACAACUCCAAAUAACUUUGAAGCUCCAUCUAUAAAGUUACAUCUAAUCUUUCAUAUUUCUCUCUUAGAAGCUUAUUCAGAAUCAAUUAUUUUAUGAAAAAUACAACUAUCACUAUCUUGCAUUAAAAUAGAUAAUCAUGUAGAAUAUGAGGUCAAAAAGAUCUUUAAUUCUUGACAAAGUAGAAGCAAGUUGGAGUAUUUUAUUCAUUAGUAUGGCUACAACAUCAAUGAAUAUUCAUGAGAAUUAACAAAAAAUCCAAUUAAAGUACCACAAAAGAUAUAUGAAUUUCAUUGAUGCUAUCUUUAAAAACCUAAAUCUAUUUUAGGAUGACUUUUCUAUAAAGCUACUAUUAAGAUGUUGGUUUUAAACAAAGAAAGAAAAUAUAAAACCAAUGCUCCUCAUAGAACUUGGAGUUAGAAGAAGAAGUGAUGUUAUAGAUAUCCAACAAAAGAUUCUAAGAAUAUUCUUAAAAUAUUCUAUUAGAUUUUAGAAGGUUCUAAAAGAUUUUUAAAAGAUUUUCAAAAUAUCUUAAAAGAUUUUAGAUGGUUUUUAGAAUAUCCUAGUAUAUUUUUAAAAUUCUAAAAAUAUUAAAGAAGUUAUUUGAAGAACUUCAUUAAAAUGCUUCAUCUUGCAAGCAUAUGAAAAACUUCUUAAGAAAUUUCCUAAGUUGCUUCAUNNNNNNNNNNNNNNNNNNNNNNNNNNNNNNNNNNNNNNNNNNNNNNNNNNNNNNNNNNNNNNNNNNNNNNNNNNNNNNNNNNNNNNNNNNNNNNNNNNNNNNNNNNNNNNNNNNNNNNNNNNNNNNNNNNNNNNNNNNNNNNNNNNNNNNNNNNNNNNNNNNNNNNNNNNNNNNNNNNNNNNNNNNNNNNNNNNNNNNNNNNNNNNNNNNNNNNNNNNNNNNNNNNNNNNNNNNNNNNNNNNNNNNNNNNNNNNNNNNNNNNNNNNNNNNNNNNNNNNNNNNNNNNNNNNNNNNNNNNNNNNNNNNNNNNNNNNNNNNNNNNNNNNNNNNNNNNNNNNNNNNNNNNNNNNNNNNNNNNNNNNNNNNNNNNNNNNNNNNNNNNNNNNNNNNNNNNNNNNNNNNNNNNNNNNNNNNNNNNNNNNNNNNNNNNNNNNNNNNNNNNNNNNNNNNNNNNNNNNNNNNNNNNNNNNNNNNNNNNNNNNNNNNNNNNNNNNNNNNNNNNNNNNNNNNNNNNNNNNNNNNNNNNNNNNNNNNNNNNNNNNNNNNNNNNNNNNNNNNNNNNNNNNNNNNNNNNNNNNNNNNNNNNNNNNNNNNNNNNNNNNNNNNNNNNNNNNNNNNNNNNNNNNNNNNNNNNNNNNNNNNNNNNNNNNNNNNNNNNNNNNNNNNNNNNNNNNNNNNNNNNNNNNNNNNNNNNNNNNNNNNNNNNNNNNNNNNNNNNNNNNNNNNNNNNNNNNNNNNNNNNNNNNNNNNNNNNNNNNNNNNNNNNNNNNNNNNNNNNNNNNNNNNNNNNNNNNNNNNNNNNNNNNNNNNNNNNNNNNNNNNNNNNNNNNNNNNNNNNNNNNNNNNNNNNNNNNNNNNNNNNNNNNNNNNNNNNNNNNNNNNNNNNNNNNNNNNNNNNNNNNNNNNNNNNNNNNNNNNNNNNNNNNNNNNNNNNNNNNNNNNNNNNNNNNNNNNNNNNNNNNNNNNNNNNNNNNNNNNNNNNNNNNNNNNNNNNNNNNNNNNNNNNNNNNNNNNNNNNNNNNNNNNNNNNNNNNNNNNNNNNNNNNNNNNNNNNNNNNNNNNNNNNNNNNNNNNNNNNNNNNNNNNNNNNNNNNNNNNNNNNNNNNNNNNNNNNNNNNNNNNNNNNNNNNNNNNNNNNNNNNNNNNNNNNNNNNNNNNNNNNNNNNNNNNNNNNNNNNNNNNNNNNNNNNNNNNNNNNNNNNNNNNNNNNNNNNNNNNNNNNNNNNNNNNNNNNNNNNNNNNNNNNNNNNNNNNNNNNNNNNNNNNNNNNNNNNNNNNNNNNNNNNNNNNNNNNNNNNNNNNNNNNNNNNNNNNNNNNNNNNNNNNNNNNNNNNNNNNNNNNNNNNNNNNNNNNNNNNNNNNNNNNNNNNNNNNNNNNNNNNNNNNNNNNNNNNNNNNNNNNNNNNNNNNNNNNNNNNNNNNNNNNNNNNNNNNNNNNNNNNNNNNNNNNNNNNNNNNNNNNNNNNNNNNNNNNNNNNNNNNNNNNNNNNNNNNNNNNNNNNNNNNNNNNNNNNNNNNNNNNNNNNNNNNNNNNNNNNNNNNNNNNNNNNNNNNNNNNNNNNNNNNNNNNNNNNNNNNNNNNNNNNNNNNNNNNNNNNNNNNNNNNNNNNNNNNNNNNNNNNNNNNNNNNNNNNNNNNNNNNNNNNNNNNNNNNNNNNNNNNNNNNNNNNNNNNNNNNNNNNNNNNNNNNNNNNNNNNNNNNNNNNNNNNNNNNNNNNNNNNNNNNNNNNNNNNNNNNNNNNNNNNNNNNNNNNNNNNNNNNNNNNNNNNNNNNNNNNNNNNNNNNNNNNNNNNNNNNNNNNNNNNNNNNNNNNNNNNNNNNNNNNNNNNNNNNNNNNNNNNNNNNNNNNNNNNNNNNNNNNNNNNNNNNNNNNNNNNNNNNNNNNNNNNNNNNNNNNNNNNNNNNNNNNNNNNNNNNNNNNNNNNNNNNNNNNNNNNNNNNNNNNNNNNNNNNNNNNNNNNNNNNNNNNNNNNNNNNNNNNNNNNNNNNNNNNNNNNNNNNNNNNNNNNNNNNNNNNNNNNNNNNNNNNNNNNNNNNNNNNNNNNNNNNNNNNNNNNNNNNNNNNNNNNNNNNNNNNNNNNNNNNNNNNNNNNNNNNNNNNNNNNNNNNNNNNNNNNNNNNNNNNNNNNNNNNNNNNNNNNNNNNNNNNNNNNNNNNNNNNNNNNNNNNNNNNNNNNNNNNNNNNNNNNNNNNNNNNNNNNNNNNNNNNNNNNNNNNNNNNNNNNNNNNNNNNNNNNNNNNNNNNNNNNNNNNNNNNNNNNNNNNNNNNNNNNNNNNNNNNNNNNNNNNNNNNNNNNNNNNNNNNNNNNNNNNNNNNNNNNNNNNNNNNNNNNNNNNNNNNNNNNNNNNNNNNNNNNNNNNNNNNNNNNNNNNNNNNNNNNNNNNNNNNNNNNNNNNNNNNNNNNNNNNNNNNNNNNNNNNNNNNNNNNNNNNNNNNNNNNNNNNNNNNNNNNNNNNNNNNNNNNNNNNNNNNNNNNNNNNNNNNNNNNNNNNNNNNNNNNNNNNNNNNNNNNNNNNNNNNNNNNNNNNNNNNNNNNNNNNNNNNNNNNNNNNNNNNNNNNNNNNNNNNNNNNNNNNNNNNNNNNNNNNNNNNNNNNNNNNNNNNNNNNNNNNNNNNNNNNNNNNNNNNNNNNNNNNNNNNNNNNNNNCGAUUGAUUUUCAUUGGUUUUAGAUUGAACAAUAGAUAAAUGAAUCUAGAGGUCAUUUUUUUCCAUGAUGGUUAGUAUAGGUGGAUAAAUUUAGUGAAAUCCUAAGUUCAUUUAAUAUUUUCUUAAAAAAAUAUUUUAAUUUAAUUUUUAUAAUUUUAUGGCAUUUAAGUUGUACAAAAAAAUUCAUAAAUUUACAUAUUAAUAAGAUUUAUAAUAAAAAAUAUUAAUAUUAAGUCAUGAAUAGAUAUAUUUAUAGAAUUAAUAUUUAUUAGGAUAUAAGAAUUAUAAAAAAAGAAGUUAAGAAGCACAAGAAAAAUAAGACUUUAGAAUAGAAACAAGAUAUGAUUUAUGUUUAGAAACAAGAAAAAACUUAGAUUGCUCUAAAACUGGAGUUGGCAAAAAUUAGGUGAUCUUUAUAAAGUCCUCUUAUUUUUAAUAAAGGCAAGUAGAUUCUAUAAAAUUUUCUAAAUAUUAUUCUUUAACUACAAAGAAUAUUCUAUUAAAACUUCUAGAAGGCAUUAGAAGAUUUUAGUACAUUAUGAAGGAUAUUAAAGUCUAAAAAUAAUAAUAAGAAUAUAUAAAAAUUUUGAAAGAUUGUAAAAAGUUAUAAUAGGUGACUAAAGUAAUAAUCUUUUGAAAUUUUUAUUAAUUUUUUUAUAAAAUUAUAAUUUUAUAAAAAUAAAUUUCCAUGUAACAAUGCCAAAGUGAAGCAUACUGAAGUGACCCAUACGACACGUAUACAAAGUGUAGAAUCGCGUCUUCGUUAAACCGCGGGAAAAGCCACCAAACAGGCUUGUUACAGCUGGACGACCACGAUGCCUUAGUUGACGGCAGCAUCGUGACUAGAGCACUCGGUGGCGGGAAGGAACGAAGAAUCGGCGGUAAUGUGGACUUCGGACUAUCGUCGAAGCUUCCUUCGUCUGCCAGCACAGAAUUUACACGCCGACAGGAGGGCGUAUAAGUGUGACUCCUCGCCUGCACCAUGGUUCUGUGCGCUCUGAACUAGCUGAUGGAGCUUUGUAAGAGAUCCAACUGGAAGUUGCCUUGUGAGGUUCCUGUCUGCUGAACUAGUAUUAUUGCGCUUCUGCAGGAUAUUUUAGGGUUUUCUUCGAGACAGUGUGAUAGAUAGGCAGGGGCUGUGUGACAGGGAGUUGGAAGAGAGGCGUGGAAAUUUUUGUUUCCAAGAGUGGUAAGAUGAAGGGAUUUGCGAGCCUUGGGAAGUCGAAGAAGCAGGAGAGCGGGACGUUGGAUUAUAGUAGAAAUGGGAAUGGGAACGGCGGGCCUGUAGUUCCAGCCGCGGGCACCUCUGUUUCUCCGAAGGUUAAUAGAAAAGUGGCGGUGAAGGCACCGAAGGACGAGAGUUCAGGGAAGCAAGGGAUAAUGUCUAAGAUAACGAGUAGGGCUAACUUGAGGUCGAAGCGAACCAAUUCGGAAAAGAAUGGCGGUGGAGUAACUGUUCCACCGGUGGUGUCUGGUUCGAAGUCCGACCAGGAGAUGGAGAAAGCGUUCAAGGUGUAUGACGCUGAUAAAGACGGAAGGAUUUCGCUGGCGGAGCUUAGUUCUGUUCUUACGUCUCUUUGCGGUGCAAUUUCGGAACAGGAGAUUGUCCAAAUUAUGGAGGAGGUUGAUACGGAUAAUGACGGGUUUAUUAGCUUGGCUGAGUUUGUUGCAUUUCACACGUCUAGCAAGCCUGGAGUUCUCAACGGCGAGAUUUCUCCCGAUAUGGAUCCAAUGAGAGAUGCAUUUCAAAUGUUUGAUAAGGAUGGAGACAGUCGCAUCUCUGCGAACGAAUUGCAGUCUGUUUUGGUCAGUCUUGGAGACAAAGGUCAUUCAAUUGAAGAAUGCCGCCAAAUGAUCAAUAGCGUGGACAAAGAUGGGGAUGGCCAUGUGGAUUUUCAGGAGUUUCUAGAGUUGAUGGGAUGUUCGUAAAUGAGGAUGUGCGAAGGGUCUGAAAUUUGCGGAGGUGAUGGUGACAUCAUGCAUUUAGCUUGUGUGUCGUUGCUAUCUCUGUUUGGACAUCUGGAACGGCAACUCAAGGCACAGAUGUGAAGAUCACUCGUGAUGUCCUAACAGUUUCCAUUCUGCGGGAUACCUUCAAGGAUAGAAUUUCGAGAUGUGCUCAUAUUGAGAUUGGGAGGUGCACAUUAUCAUUCUGACAUGACCAUACAGGAACUACUACACAUCAGUGCACCAACUUUGGUUUUCUCAGACCUGAUUCGACAGAAUUAGUAAGGUGAUUACCGCUCACAAGCUGUUGCACCUCAGUAACGUCUCCAUCAUGCAUACAUCGACCGACGGAUCAGCAAGAAAAAAGAUCCAAAUCUGUGAUUUUAACUGAUUAAGUGGAACAGUCAUACUGUGGUGUCACGUUGGAGGCUGCAUUGGUCUACCAAUUUUCGUUCCAAUUUCUUUUCUGAGUAAUACCUAUGGUGCACAGUUGUUACAUGGCCGUAGGAUUUACAAAAACAAUGCACUCGGUGUUUCUUAUAAGUCUCAGUGGUUCGAAUGUGGGAUCUGUACACCAGUAUUCAUAUCUUCAAUGUGCUUUUGUCCACUUGUGAAGGUGAUAUUAGUAUAUUGCGUAGAAUUAUAGCCUAUCCUUGGGCAGAUCUAUUCGGAUAGCUUCAUUAAUAUACAAAUGGUUUGCUAUUCAUUGCGUACCAGUUUGAAAUAAAUAUCCUUACAAUGAAAAGGAUUGGAUCAGUUAUUUAAGAACGUGCCCUGAUUUCAAUGCAAAAUAUCUCUUGUUGGUUUACAUGUUAACAGGCGAUUAAUUCAAAUACGACUUACUAAUUUCAUAAGCAUGUUGACCUUGAAGUAGAGAUAUCGUGCAAUAUGUUACUGCUUGUUUCUUGUUUAGAUCGCAAGUGGGAACCCGAGCUCCCUUUGAAAUUAAUACUGCACUUCCUCUCACUUCCAAUAUGCACUUCUUUUGACAAGCAGAUUUGAAACGCAUGUGACCGUUAGGAUAAAAGCUUGUCUUGUUUGAGAGGAGAAUAGAAUUAACCUCUAUAAGUCCAAAUAGUUAUAAAAAACUUAAAGUAAAUUUUUCUUAAACUUCAAUAGCUCAUAUCUCAUCAUUGGAUCAUCCAAAAAAAUCCAAAUUUUAUAUAAAAUACUAAUAUAUUUUUAACAACUAUUGCAACAAAUUUCAACCAUAAAUUCAUUACAGAUCUUGAAACAUCGCCAAAACUCUAACAAUAGCUUCAAAUCCUUGCUUACAUAUACCAGUGUGUAAAUUUCUUCAUAUCUCACAAACUAAAUAUUUAAAUACCAUAAAGUUUUAAUAUAUAUCUUUUUAAUUCAAUAUUAUAUAUUUUUAGAAAUUUUUAGCCAAAAAUUCAUCCAAGAAUUCAAGACAUGGCUUCAACCAUGACUAUCAACAAAACAAUUUACUUACUACCUCUAAAUUACUUGUGUUGUUUUCAACGCUUUAUAACUUCUUCAUAAAAAUUCCAAAUGUAAAAAUUCUUUCAUAAAAGAUAUAGAUCUUAAAAUUAUUUUUACAACUAGACCUUUUAAUCUUCAAAAUCUAUCAUAAAACUCAUCAUAUUCUCAAAAUAGUAAUAGUAUAUCUUAAAAAGACACCUUAACUUCAAAUGGCUAUAAUUUCAUCACCCUAACUCCAAAUCCUCUAAAAUUUGCACACAAAUUGUAGUUCAAAUCCUAAACCUUACAAUUCUUUCUUUUGAUUUUCAAAUUCUCCUUUUGAAGCAUGUGAUGUUCUUUGAAGGUAUGCACAUAGACAUGAAAGACAAAAUUGUGAAAACAAAAAAAGAGUACAAUAGAUCUAAACACAAAGAUGUACAACCAUAUUUUACUAAGAGAAGGUGCCAAAGCUAUACUUGACAAGGAACUCCAAAAGACCUUGAUUAAUUCUAUUUAUAUCUUAUCCUAUUACCCUAGACUUUCUCUUCAUCUUCUUCACUUCAUGUGGAGGUACAAAGAGUCAUCUUGCAUGCUCUAUCUUUAAAAGAGAUUGUCCUUACUAUCCAAUCAACUUGCUUAUUUUCCAUCUCUAGCUAUGGCAUAUCAAAGAUAACAUCAUGCUUUAGCUUUGUCACCUUGAAUCUUACUCUUAAGACAUAAGUGUUUGUCAAUCUUAAGGUUUUUUUUACACAUUUCACUGAAUACGUUCUCUUGAUCAUCUGCAAGAUAUAUACUUCCUUCUUUGAUUUCUUUAGUUUUAAUUCUAAGUCAGUCAGCAACUUCAGUUGGGAUGCAAUGUUUUGUAGAGCCACAAUCUAUAGGCACUCGACAUGAUUGUCCUCUAAGUAUUCUUGUUAGAUAUACCAAUUGACACUUUUUAUAGUUAUCCAAGGCCAUGCCAUUUGUUUGUAAGAGACAGUAGCUAUCCUUAGUACUAGCCUUUGGUAUUUUUAUUGGGAAGUCCCGUUGUCAUGUUGAAACACGACUAUAUGGUGAAAGAUGAUGAUAUGGAUCUUAUUAUAGAAGAGCCAAGUUAAAAUGUGAUAAAAAUGUUAUAAAAAACUUAUAUAUCCUUGAAGUAAAUUCUUCUUAAACUUCAAUAGCUCAUAUCUCAUAUCUCAUGAUUGGAUCAUCCAAACAAAUCCAAAUUUUACAUAAAAUACUAAUAUAUUUUUAACAACUAUUGCAAAAAAUUUCAACCAUAAAUUCAUUACAGAUCUUGAAACAUCGCCAAAACUCUAACAAUAGCUUCAAAUCCUUGCUUACAUAUACCAGUGUGUAAAUUUCUUCAUAUCUCACAAACUAAAUAUUUAAAUACCAUAAAGUUUUAAUAUAUAUCUUUUUAAUUCAAUAUUAUAUAUUUUUAGAAAUUUUUAGCCAAAAAUUCAUCCAAGAAUUCAAGACAUGGCUUCAACCAUGACUAUCAACAAAACAAUUCACUUACUACCUCUAAAUUACUUGUGUUGUUUUCAACGCUUUAUAACUUCUUCAUAAAAAUUCCAAAUGUAAAAAUUCUUUCAUAAAAGAUAUAGAUCUUAAAAUUAUUUUUACAACUAGACCUUUUAAUCUUCAAAAUCUAUCAUAAAACUCAUCAUAUUCUCAAAAUAGUAAUAGUAUAUCUUAAAAAGACACCUUAACUUCAAAUGGCUAUAAUUUCAUCACCCUAACUCCAAAUCCUCUAAAAUUUGCACACAAAUUGUUGUUCAAAUCCUAAACCUUACAAUUCUUUCUUUUGAUUUUCAAAUUCUCCUUUUGAAGUUGUCGAAACUCUUGUUGUGGUCCUAGACAGCCUAGUAAAUGCCCAUUAGGUAUGGCCUUUGACCAAUAGGGAUAAAGAUCUUUACCUUUUGUCUUCAUCCGACCAUGAAUUGAUUUCAUUCCUCCUCAUAAGCCUCUUAGUAGUUUAGAUUUUCAUCCUUAGGCUUCUACCUUCUCUUAAAGCUCUAUACUAAAUAUUUAAAUCUUAUAUAAUUUAAAUAUUAUAAUAAAAUAGAUAAAAUUCAAAAUAAAGUUUUUUGUAUCUAUUUUCUUUGAAUUAAUUUAUUGACCAUUCUAACACACAUCAAGACUUAUGAAUAUAAAAUAUGUUUAAACUAAUUUUUACAUAUUAUAAAAAAUUACAAUACGAUGGCAUAUAAUUUGAUUCUUAUUAAAAAAAGAGAUGAAUAGUAGACUACAUUUUAAAUAAGGUAUGGCACUUUGAAUAUAAUAUCAUGCCUUUUAGACUCACAAAUGCACUAGGUACUUUUCAACAUCUUAUGAAUAAUUUUUUUUGUGAAUUUUUAGAUGAUUUUGUUGUUUUUUAUUUAAACAAUAUUUUAAUCUAUUGUAAGAAUACAAAAGAGCAUGAAAUUCGUGUUUAUUGUUUAUUACAAAAACUUGGAGUUGCGAGAUUGUAUGCCAAGUUGAAAAAGUAUGUAUUCCAUAUUAUUCAAAUUGACUUCUUAGGAUAUAUUAUUUUUUAAUGAAGGACUUAUGAUGGAUCUGAAGAAGAUUCAAACUAUUAUAGAUUGGAAGAAUUUAAGAAUAAUAAAAGAUGUGCAAUGCUUUUUGGGCUUUGCCAAUUAUUAUCAAAUCUUCAUCAAGAAUUUUUCUCAAGUUGCAGUUCUUCUUACACAUCUUACAUGCAAAGAAAAAAUUAAUUAGAGCAAAAAAACUAGAGCAUUUUUUGAAGCCUUUAAGUCAAUAUUUAUUUUUGCACCAAUCUUGUAUUGCGUUGACUUUUUUAAGAUACAACAUCUAGAAAUCAUCUUAUGAUAGAUGGCCUAGCUGAGCAAGUUGUUCAAACUGUCAAAUGUGGUUUAUGAAAGUAUGGAUUACUUCAUAGCAACCAUUUGUGAUUGGGAUUUGAUGUUGCCAUAGAUUGCAAUCGGUUAUCGCUUUAAUAGACAAGAAUCUUUGGUAUCUUAUAAUCCUUACUAGUUGUUGUACGGAUGAGAGUUAAUUCUACCUUGCUUAAUAUGUGAAAAGCUAGUUCUAGUUGUAUAUCUAGAUGAUCCUAAUGUUUGGGCUCAAUAUUCACAUGACCAAGCAUCAUUUUCUUGGAAUAUGGAAUGGAUGGCCAAUAUUUUAGAAUCUAGAGUCAAUGUGCUAUACCCUAAAUAGAGAUUAAAGUUGUGAAUCACAAAAGCAGAGUUAUAAUAAGUCAAUUACUAUUAGACCUGCCUUGGGAAUUGGGGUAUUAGGAUCUAAUGUAUUUGUUAUCUGGUCACUAAUCGAUCAAUCCAAUCACAUAGUGAACCGUGCAUAUAUCAAAAGACAAACAAAACAGAGAAAAUAUAAAGAAGAAAAUAAAAAUAAAAAUAAAAAAGCAUGACCACAUGGAGCCAACGAUGCCUUCCACGUCAGCAAAAGCGACAGACCAAGCUGUCACCGAUCGAACACGCCGAAAGCGGGUCAAUACCAAUCAUCACCUGCCAAGUCACCACAGCGCUCUUUGGCGCUAGAAUUGACUGCCACACUUCGGCCCCCCCCUAAACGAAUGAAUAAUUCAUUACUUUUCGUUAUCACGUUCAUCAACCCAAGCGAAAUGUCGUAAUCGACGAUUCAAAUUUGAAUUCAUCGACGCGGGAGGAUCUUGAGGGUUACUGUCCACAUUCAAUGCAAGCCAUCGCCAAUUUACGUCUCACCUCCAGAAUUUCGCCUUGAUUUCUGUAGGUUUCAAGGUCCCUGAGGAUCAUGUUUAGAGGAUGCUUGAUGGUAAGGGUUUGAGAGAGAUCGUGGUAGUGAGGAGAAAGGAGGAAGAUGUGAGUUCGAGGAGGCGGUGGCGGUGGCGGUGGUGGAAGUGAUGAGGAGGAAGCCGGGUGACGGUGCAGACCUGCUGAUGAAGCUGAAUUCGGUGGAAUUGCUGGCAAGGAUGGUGGAAGACCAUGGACGUAAGUAACACGGUUCGAAACGAGGGUUAAACACUCGGUCUCAAAGGUGAUGGAAAAUGUAGUGUAGUUCAAACUAGCGACGCACAAGCGUCGGUUUUUGAUGUCGUGUAAUUGAUGCACCCAGGCGAGGUUCGGAGAAGUCUUCUCAUUAACGCAGUAAGUUUCUUCGCUCCAACAAAAAUUAUUGAUUGGCAUGUAUGAAUGCCGUGGCGGUCGAUUUUCCUUUUGAUUCAUAGAGCAUACACUUCCGAAAUGAGCCUUGCUUUCUCCGAGCAGUUUCUUGCGUCAGGUUUCUUGCUUCUUCACUUCUUCUCUUGUUCUGAAUCCCGCGAUGUCAAACAUUAUUCCGAUUCAUGUCAUACAGUUUUGUUGAAAGCCCCAUGUUCAAAAGUUAUUGGACUUGUUCACGGUAGGACAAUUUCGAAGGAAUGAUGAGUUUUGUGGUUGCUGUAUCUAAUUCUUUCUUUGUUGUUUCGUUAAUUUCGCAUUUUGAGGAUAUUUUCGUGCAUUGUGCAGAAGUCUGGGAGUCUUUUCAUGAACCUGUCUAAGAAUUAGGUUUCAAAAUCGGAUGUGCAACGGAUCAUAAUGGCCCCAUAUAACUAUGUGGGCAUCGUUCCUUGACCUGCGGUGAAGAAAGUUCCAAUGAAUCAUGGAGAAACCUCGUACACAUCACAACUCAGCCAUCAGAAGUUGUAAAAUUAUGUGAGCAUAUCAUGAAUUGUCGUAAAAUUUGCAAUGAAUAUUUCGCACGUGAUUAUAGGUUACGUAUUUUCUCUUCCUUCGUAGGGGUUUUACUGGUAUUUUUGAAGACCAGAUGUCCGGGGCGUAACCAUAGACUCUCAUCAGCUGUCUGGUCAAUACAUUAUUACACUUCAGAUCUGUACAUAGGUGUGGGAAAUGUCGGCUGCCACGCGUGCCGUAGGAUCCUCAUACCUUACACAGAGAGGUGAAAGCGCACCGAAAAGUACUUGGUUAGCCGCCUCUACACAUUGCAUUUAUCAUCAAAGACGCGUUAGCCGACAACAAGUUCCUAGGACAAGCAUCUAAGAAAUUAGAAGUAUUGUACACAUUUUGUGUUUUUCAUAUAAACGCAUCAAUAAGGGUACGAAUUUUCAGCUGACGUCUGAUUCAACUGUGAACUUUCCUUCUUUCUUUGAUGACUCUGACUGUACUCCCACAGGCAAGAGCUAGGUAGAUGAACGCUUCAUCACUCCGAUUGAAAGGUGGCUUAGUUUGGGGUUGUUUCCAAGGGUAGGCAACCGUGUUUGCAACCCUUGAAGUUGUGGAUCAGUCUGGCUAACCCAUUAAGUUGCUUUCGAAGCGUCAGGGCUGCUCCUCUGAGGGGUUGUGUGUCACUUCUUCACGUACGAGUCCAACAUUAAGCUGCUAAAGGACCAUAUGCUGCAACUUAGAAGGUACCCGUCUGAUGAUCGAGGCUUUUUCCACGCUAAGCAAGUUUCAUGUGAGUGUCAGGACACAUUCCACUUCAAGGUACUCCAGCACUGUGCUAUUCAAAGUACCCUGUACAAUUGUUUUAUUCAUCCACUGUUUCUUCAUACACUGAACUCGUAUGUGUUGUAUGUUUCACUUGGAGCAUUCCGUACAUAAAAUUGAUUGGUAGUUGAUACAAUUGUACUUGUUCUGUUUACCGACUAUCUUUUUUUCGAAAAUAAUUUGAACUUCGAGUUCCACUUCAAAAAGAACAGCUUUCUCGACUUUUUGCAUGAAAUAUGUGUCUCUACAGUUUCAUCAUAACAAGUAAUUGGAUCACUUGUAUUUCAUAGUAUCUGGAUUACAUACAUUCUUUUUAUCUCAUCUGUAAGUUUGAAGUUAUUCAUUCUCAAAGUAAUCGUUUUCAUUAAAAAAAAUCUUCUUGAUGGCAGUCCAUGUUAAGCAUAGAUAAUAUUGCAUCCACUCUAAUUUAAUUUUGAUUUCCACUAAUUUUUUAAUAAAUGCUUUCAUAAUCAAUAAAUUAUACAUUUAUAAUUAUUUCUAGUCAAUCCUAAUUUGAAGGAUUCAUUGAAGUUUUGUCGUAUAUAUUGAAUUAUGUAAACUUCUUAAUCAAUAUUUUUAGUUUACACAUACA